rnacentral:lncRNA from 1 species
UUAAUAACAGGGACAUGGUUCUUAAACUAUUUAAAUGGCGUCAAGAAAGGAGGAGUUGAAGGCGCUUAAUUAUUUUUUUUUUCCGGUAAUACUGUAUGCGUACAAAGACAACGAACAAUGAAGUAUACUAUACACACUGUAUAAUCAACUGACUUUAUAAUAAUGAAAGUAUCUAUAGUACUCUGGUUGAGAAAUACUAUUGGUUUUUGUUGAAUAAUAUUAGAUGCUUUUAACAUGUAUAUUUAUUUCAGAAAAUGAGGUUGUCAUUGGAAAUAUAUUAGUUGGUCAUUGUAGUUGUCGACAAUGACCAUAAUAGGAUUUAUUAGAAAAAAAAUAGGAUUUCGUGGCGACAAAACUUUGCCAGAAAUACUAAUUGUAUUAGUGGCGGUCCCUGCUGCCGCCACAAUACUAAUCAGCGGCAAUAGUUGACUUGGACAAAAAAAACAAAGUGGCUCAGAUAAAUCUUCAUAUCAAUCAAUCGUAUAUUGAUUAAUACGUAAUCGAUCGAACACCACUUGUGGCGACUAGGUCGCUUUCUAAAAUGAGCGACCUAUCUUGUGGAUCUUUUUUUGUUAGCGUACUUUUUAAACUUUUUGUAACGGAUAAACUGGUAGCGACUCGAACAAGUCGUCAACAAAAAUUCACUUUCAGACGUACUUGCAGCAAUGCUAAGCGAUCUUCUGAGCUUUGUAGCGACUCUAGUUGUUCGACUCAAAAGAUACUAAAUACUUUAUUAGUGAAAACAAUCAAAGUGAAUCAAAGGUAAAUCACAAUCGAAGAUAAUGAGACCUAGAGAUAUGUAUUAUGCUUUUUAUUGCUUUUAAUAGAUUGGAUAUUCAAGAGAGAGAAAGAAAGAGAAAGAGAGAAUGAUUUUCUAGAGAUAGAGACAGUUUGAGGCUUGUUCAAUAAAUAAAAGAUGCCCCUUUACAACACCGGGAUCCCCCUUUAUAUAAUAGGAGGCCCUCCUUGAAAUAAUAAAAUAAUACAGAGAUUGUUCGCAUUCCUUCGAGAAGACAGCGAGACCAAUGAUACAGUUCGCUCCGACAUUCUUAGGUCGUGCCCUUACUUCGGUUAGGGUACAUUCAUUGUCCGUUCCUACCAACGUGGAGACGUAAUGGGUAAAAUUUGACCAUGUAUGGUUUUUCCCUCUGUUCAUCGGCGAUGUAUCGGGAUGCGUCCCUAAUGGAUGGAACCGUGAACCUUGUUCUGGGAGAAUUUGACCAUGUUUGAAGACGGCAGCGUGAAUGAGAAAGAACAUUUGAGAUUAUUGAAAUGUUGACGCACAAUCUCCUUUUCAGAGCGACGUCAUCACACGCAUGCGUCAUUAUUAUGCGUAUUCCCGAGGAAGUACAAAAGGUGCUCUGACGCUUAGUUUCUCGCGCCCGUUCGAACUCUGUCUCUUCGAUUUCAAUGCCACUCAACCCUAUAAAUAGGGAAAGGGUACUUGAUCCAACUUUCGACUAUUUGCACGCAUUUUCUGGCCUUCUAAGAAAACACUCCAUUUCUUCGAAACUCCAUUGUUUCUCAGAAAGACUGAACGUAAAUCAUGGCAAAACCCCGAUGGAAUAAUAAUCUGAAGGCUCGUGAUACUACGUCAUCCGAUGUGCUGCCUUCCUGUGCUUGUGAUGAUGGAGAAGGAGAAUAGGACCUCACCCCUCUUACUGUGGACAACGUGCUACCAAAGCACCUUCUUGUUAGGAAAGACUUCCAAAAAGACUCCCCCGCGCAACCUUCGGAGCAUUUCGAGUUAACUCAGGAUUACUUAGAUAGUCUUGCACGUCGUUCGGCAUAUCUGCUCAUGUGGAAAUAGUCCCAGCAGGAACGGAUUAUGCGGAUGUCGCAGACCGAGAUAUUGUACGUUUUAUAAAUAUCCAUUUUUAAUUGGUUAUGGUUUUCCUAUCUUUCCUUUGGUGGAGGAGCUUUGCCACUUUUACAACUUGUGCCCCGUCCCAACUUACUCCAUACACCUUAAAAGUAUGUAGGAUAAUGUCUACAUAUGCAGAGCUGGCUAGGUGUGAGGUCUCCGUCCACCACCUUUUGUAGUUAUUCAGCGCCAGUUAUUUAAGGGGUACCAUGCAGCAUUUGAAGAGCCAUGGUUCGAAAGGGCUGGUAGUCAAGACUGAUAACCGACCCAACCGUGGUUAUUAGCGUAGGUACUUCUUUAUUAAAAUGGAGCACCUGGUGUCUAACCCUACCGGGUUCCCAAAGAGGUGGAAUUCGAAAUGUAAGUGUUUCCAUUCGUCGAAUUCUUUAUCACACGUGAACUCGGUGGUUUUGGUCGUACCCUCCUUGUGAUUUUUCCUUUUAUUUUGCAGCAACGGCUCACCCACCCCGGUUCAUCACUGGUAUCAAGCAAUGGGUAGCCAGUUUGCUGCCUUACGCGGAAGAAACUCGUACAUGGUCCGCAUUUCUUCAACGCUACGGCCCCGUAGGCCCUUCAGGUAGUUCUUCAACUUUAGUCGGUUGUUUCCGCAAACUUUAUCAACUGAACUGUUUGUGUCGACAGGUCAAAACAUUCCCAAGAAGAGGGUGACGAUAUCUACCUCCGCUCGAUCGGAUAUUGGCUCGGAUGCUCAACAGAUACUUUGUGCAUCUGUCAGAGAGGGUAUUCCCGUAGUUCGUUUACAAAAGGUUGCGAUUGUGGAGGAGACUACGAAUGAAGCAACACCAUCGACAACAUCUCCACAUCCUGCGGAUGAGCCUUCCGAGGGCGAGGAGCCCGGGGAGAGAAAAAGGUGGAGGCUUGAGACGGGAAAGGCGGUGGCGACUGAGGAUGAAAGGAGUAACGUGCCUUGUCAAACGCCUAGACCUGUCUUCAUGGUCGACGCUAUUCCUUCGGGGAGGCCGGCCCAUCAGACAAGUGUUGCUGCCGAUGCCAACUCAGUUCGUGCUGCUGAGGGUGGCUCGACGUCCAUCAUUGGCGGGGAUGUUGAGGGAUCGGAUCUGAGAUCACCCAGGAAGAUAUGGACGGGCUGGUGGAAGGUCUCACGCAUGUGGAGAUGAUGGCGGACGGGUCCAACCGCCAAAUCGUAAUUUCGGGGGCUUAUUAUUUAUUAUAGCAUAGCGAGCAGGCGGCGUUGGAGAUGGCCUUAUUAUGUGCAGCCCCCAAGCGUGAAAUGCUAAGAGAUGUCAGGGAUGCGGAGCUAUCCCGAAAGGUCGCCGGCGUGACUUUAUAGGUAAACUUCUGUUCUUCCGCGUGUUGUAGAGUUGGCUUUGAUGUGUACUAACUCAUAUUAUCUCCUUAAACCCUUGUUUUGGAGGUGGAGAGGAGGCGUCACGAGCAGAAGAAGGCGGCUGUUUUCAAUAAAAUGGUGAAGAAAGUAUAAGAGGUGUCGCUCCAAGCAUCAGGCGGCGGUGGACCUUUUCCAACAGGACCCCUAAUUUCCGGUGUUCCGGGAAGGUCUUGAGCAUAAGGAGGUGCAAUUGAAGCGCAUGGUGGCCGAGCUGGAGAAGACUGAUGAGGAUUUAAUGAAGGUUGUGGCUCGUAAUAGUGAGCUGGAACCACUCCUCAAAUCGAGGGAAGAGGAGUUGGAGCUUAGUCGUGGGGUGGCAAAAGAGUUUGCCAAUUUACGCCGUAGGGUUGCGGCCUUGACUGCCAAACUCAAAGCCGAAGCGGCAGAGGUUGACGUUCUUAGGCGGACGGUCCCACCAAGGCCUGGAGACGUGGCUUAGCCUUCUUCUUCCCAGCUCUUGUCUAACGAGGAUGCGCGCCGUGAUGCACAUGAGAUGUGGGUUUAUACGAAGGCCAGACUGGACAUAUACAAGAAACUUCUUGUUGCAGGUCGUGCCACUAAGGAGGAGGUAUAGGAGCAGUGGCACUAGGCUGAGCCGCUCGGGCAGUCUGCGGGUAUAGUUCCAUCUCUCCUGACCGAGAGAACUAUGCUUCAAAGGAUGUUAACCGGCUAGAUUCCGACUUCUGGUACAAUGAAGCUUACCGCCUUGAUGGUGACGGACGAGAUGGUGAACAGACGGGACUUGUGCCCCGUCCCAANNNNNNNNNNNNNNNNNNNNNNNNNNNNNNNNNNNNNNNNNNNNGGGGGGGGGGGGGGGGGGGGGGGGGGAUGGGCAAGAUGGUGAGGCUCCUUAAAAUUUGUAUAUGUUUUGCUUUUUGUAGAAUAUUAUAGUUGCCAUUUUGCGGGACUGAAUGUGUAUACCUUUUUGUAAUGUAUGAAUCAUACUUUUGCUGUUAUUUUUUUUGUGUUGUGCUUUAUUUUUCAGAACUUCACCUCCGCAGAGUUGAUAUUCGUUUGUUUGUAGAAGAUUUGUCGCCUCUUUGGGUAACAUCGAAGUGGUACACGCGGUCUCAGGGGUGAUCCCCUAGGGAUCACCUCUGUCGUAGAUAAGUCAACGCCCGAUCUUAGUGAAUAAAUAAGACGAAAUUUUAACCGUUGUCUGAAUGUUGUUCGUCGUAAUCGAGCUUAACUGACGCUUAAUGGUGUGAACACCUAAUUUUUUACCACACCCAAAUUCUAUACUAUUUUAGUGUAAAUAUUUCUUUUAUAUUUAAACUUUCAUCAUUCUUAAUAGAUUUAUUUAAAAAUACAAAAAUACUCUCAUUCUUAGAGUACAAAAUUUAUUAAGAAUGAUGAAAGUUUAAAUAUAAAUUGUUUUUAGUGAUUGUUGAUGUCAUCCCUUUGCAAUUUUUAAGGGAUCUUUUGAUGAAGUCCCCAGUUACCAUAAUGGGCAUUUGUAAAGCGAAUACUUUGAUGACUAAGUUUUUCCUUAGUCUUUUAUAUGAAGAAGUUUUAUGGGUACUUCUUUAUAUUCUAUUCUUGCCUAUUUACUUAUUUAGGACUUAUAGAAUAGCUUAGCAUUUUUAUCCUUCGAAAAUACUUUUUGAUUCUUCUCAUGGAACAUCAACAUGAUGUUUAUAAAGAGGGCCCUUUUAUUUUAUAGACACUUAAUGAAGAAGACGUCUCAACUUCAUAAUGGUGUUUAUAAUGCGAUGAAAGAAAUAGGAAUGCACAUGUUUUGUAUGAAAUAACUUUAAUAAGUUUUUAUUCAUGAACUUUAACAAGUUGUUUUGACUAUUACAUGUAUUAAAAUACAUCUAUAGCUAUCUCGUAACUGUUUUUCUUGUAACAGAUUAUUACAUGUACUAAAAUACAUCUAUAACUUUAUCGUAACUGUUUUUCUUGUAACAGAUUUUUACAUGAUAUAAAAUAGACAAGGUUUUUCAUCACAACCUGUUUCAAUACAUAGUCAUAACCCUAUCUUUACAUAUUUAGGAAGGGUUUGAGAAGUGACUUUGUUUGUGAGUUUGGGAGACGACUCUGUUUUUUUCAUGAGAAAAAACAUUAUGAUGAAUGUUUUGCGCUGAAUGUUGAAGACUUCGUAACUUUCUCUCAACACUUGUCUUUUUGUAGUUAAAUCUUGCCAAACUUUGACCAACUUUUGUUCGAUAUUCGUAUCUUGUGAUAUAUGUAUCUGUUGUGAUAUUUGUAUCUAUUGUGAUAUUCGUAUCUGUUUUUCUGCAUGAAUCUGUGUAUAAUAUGUAGUCCCCCAAGUGUUUGAGCGGUAAAGUAUGAAGCCUCGAGCACUUGUUUGUUUAUUUCAAUUUGGUCCUUUUCCUGAAACAGAAAAUAUACAGGACUCAGAGGUAUGAUUAUAGAUAAAGACUGCCUAAUCCGUGUCUAUUUCCAUAAGAUUUAUGUAACCCUAGGCUCGGAAUUUAAGAGUAUUCCAUUUUAUCGUGCAGGUCGUGACUCAUUAUUUGCCACGAGUUAGGAUUUUUGCCUAGCAUCUAAAAUCAUUAGUAAAUUAUAACAAUUCAGAGAAAAAAUUUAACAUAGUGAUACCUGACCGUGGCUACUCCCUUAAAAGUAAUAUCUCUUUAGAUGGACAGCAUUCCAAUGCGAAGGUAAAACUUUACCCUCCACUGUCUCCAACUCGUAUGCUCCUUUCCCUGCAAUGUCACGGAUUUUGUAUGGUCCUUCCCACGUUGGACUUAGCUUUCCUGAAUUAGCAGCCUUCGUAGAUAGGAACACCUUUUUUAGCACAAAGUCCCCAAUUUUGAAGAAUUAGAGAUGUGUUUUCCUGUUAUAAUAUCGUUCAAUUAAUUGCUUUUGAGCUUCCAUACUUAUUAAUGCAGCUUCUCUUCUUCCUUCGAGCAAAUCAAGGUUCACCCGUAACUCUUCAUUGUUUGAGUCUUCCGUUGUUUGAAUGUACCGUACGCUUGGUUCCCCUAUUUCAACUGGUAUUAAGGCAUCGGCUCCAUAAACCAUUGAAAAUGGCGUUUCUCCUGUGCUUGUUUUCGUCGUUGUUCGGUACGCCCAUAAUACCGCAGGUAACACUUCAGGCCAAUUACCUUUUAAAUCUUGUAAUCUUUUCUUUAAAUUAUUGAUUAUGACCUUGUUAGUGGAUUCCGCUUGUCCAUUGCCAACCUGAUGGUAUGGUGUUGAUGUUAUCCUUUUAAACUGCCAACUUUGAAAGAAUUAUGUGAUUUAUGCUCCUAUGAAUUGUGGACCAUUAUCAUAUACGAUUUCCUUUGGUACCCCAAAGCGGCAUAUUAUAUUUCUCCAAAUAAAAUCUUUGACUUCUUUCUCUCGUACCUGUUUGAAUGCCCCUGCUUCUACCNNNNNNNNNNNNNNNNNNNNNNNNNNNNNNNNNNNNNNNNNNNNNNNNNNNNNNNNNNNNNNNNNNNNCCCUGCUUCUACCCAUUUAGUGAAAUAAUCAGUAAGUACAAGUAGAAACUUUACCUGACCUUUUGCUUGUGGUAAUGGACCUACAAUGUCCAUUCCCUAUUUCAUGAAGGGCCACGAAAAUAUAACAGGGUGUAAUAAUUUGGCCGGUCUAUGCAUAUUGUUACCGUAUCUUUGAUAUUUAUCACACUUAGAUACGAAAUCAUUUGCUUCCUCUUCCAUCUUAGGCCAAUAGUAUCCUGCUUGAGUCAAUGUUUUUACUAGUAACCUGCCUCCUACAUGAUUUCCACAAUGUCCCUCAUGUAUUUCUUUCUUACAUACUCUGUUUGGGAAGGUCCGAGACACCUUGCUAAUGGUCCACCAAACAUUUAUCAGUAAAUGUUUCCUUGAUAUAUACAAUAACGAGCAGCUUUCUUACGACGUGCAUGAGCCUUUGUUUUAUCAUCAGGAACGGUUCAAUGCUGCAAAAAAUCAACUAUUUCAUAUCUCCAAUCAUAUGUUAAAUGAUUAAAUUUACCUCAUUCUUUUCAGGUUCGAGCACGGAAUGAAAUAAAUGUAUGAUUGAAGCAUUUGCAUCAUUUGCUAUGUCUGCUGAUGCAUAUGCAAGAUUAGCUAAAGCAUCUGCCUCUGCGUUCUCCUCUCUUGGGAUUUGCAUUACCUUCCAUGUUUGGAACUGCUUUAUCAAUUCCCGUACAUUUUUUAGAUACUCUUGCAUUUGCGUUUCCCUGGAUAUAUCAGUCCCCAGCAUUUAAUUGACCACGAGUUGGGAAUCACUCUUGAUUAUGAUUUGUGUUAUGCCAAGUUCUCGUGCCAAUUCUAAACCUGCAAUUACUGCCUCAUAUUCUGCUUCAUUGUUAGUUACAGGGUGAUAUUUUAUAGUUUGUCUAAUGGUUUCACCCAUAUGUGGUAUAAGAACAAUUUCUAGACCCGCUCCUUUUACAUUAGAUGAACCAUCAGUAAAUAAAAUCCAAGUUACCGGAUUUGCACCAUUAAAAACUUGUAAUUCUUUUUCUGCUUUUAAAUGCAUCCCUUGACUAAAAUCUGCUACGAAAUCGGCGAGAACUUGGGAUUUUAUAGCAGGCCUAGGCUGAUAAAUGAUGUAAUAUUCACUUAGUUCGAUAGCCCAUUUUGCUAAUCUUCGUGACAAUUCAUGUUUAUGCAAAAUAUUUCGUAAUGGAAAAGUAGUAACUACAAUAAUAGGAUGACAUUGAAAAUAAGGUCUUAAUGCCAUGAUCAAAGCUAGUGCCAACUUUUCUAGUUGUGGAUACCGUGUUUCAGCAUCUAAUAAGGAUUUGCUUACAUAGUAAAUAGGAGAUUGUUUACCCUAGUCCUCUCGUACCAAAACAGCACUUACCGCGACUUCUGAUACUACUAAGUAAAUGAUCAGUGUUUCACCUUCCUUUGGUUUUGCCAACAAUGGGGAUUUUGACAAGUAAGCUUUCAAAUUCAUAAGGGCUUGUUGACAAUCUUCGUUCCAUUUAAAAUGGUCCUUCUUUUUGAGAGCAGAGAAGAACUUAAAACAUUUUUCUGAAGCUUUAGAAUUAAAUCUUCCCAGAGCUGCAAUCCUUCCCGUUAAUCUUUGAACGUUAUUCUUAUUGGUAAGGAUAUCAGGGAUUUCUUCUAUUUCUUUAAUUUGAGAAGGAUUUACCUCAAUGCCACGGUUAGAAACAAAAACCCAAAAGUUUACCUGAAGCAACUCCGAAUGCACACUUUUUAGGUUGAGUUUCAUGUUAAAUUUCUGUAAAAUUACGAAUGUAAUAGAUAAAUGAGAAAUAUGAUCGUGAGAAUGCUGGGUUUUGAUGAGAAUAUCAUCUAUAUAUUCCUCCAUAGUUUUUCCUAAAUUUUCUUGAAAUAUUUUGGUGACCAACCUUUGAUAGGUUGCUCCAGCAUUUUUUAGACCAAAGGGCAUUACUUUAUAACAGUAAAUCCCUUCAUCACGGGAUCCAUCUUAAUUUGAUUAUAUCCCGAAUAUGCAUCUAAAAACUCAAAAUUUCAUGAAAUGCAGUUGCAAUUGAUCUAUAUGCGGUAAAGAAAAAUAGUCUUUUGGACAAGCUUUGUUUAGAUCAGUAUAAUCCACACAAAUGCGCCACUUACCAUUUUUCUUAGGUACAACAACCGUGUUAGCUAACCAAUUAGGAUACUUUACCUCGUGGAUCAACCCAAUCUUUAAUACUUUUUGGACCUCAUCUUGAAUUACCUGGUUCUUGAAAGCACCUUGCUUUAUUUUCUUUUGCUUUAUUGGUGUGAAAUAUGGGUCCUCGUUACGUUUGUGAGUCAUCACAUCCGGUGGUAUCCCUGUCAUAUCAGCGUGGUACCAAGCAAAACAGUCUACGUUAGCUUUUAAAAACUCAAUUAACAUACCUCGCAUGUCGGGAUUUAGAUUNNNNNNNNNNNNNNNNNNNNNNNNNNNNNNNNNNNNNNNNNNNNNNNNNNNNNNNNNNNNNNNNNNNNNNNNNNNNNNNNNNNNNNNNNNNNNNNNNNNNNNNNNNNNNNNNNNNNNNNCUUUCGUUCAGGCCAUUGCUCAAAUAGCACCACAGCCUCGAGCUCCUCUAUUGUUGUUUUAAUGUUCUCAUUUUCUUCAGGUUCUUGAAUUACAUCAGUUCUUAAGUCUAAGUCACCCCCAACUGUUUCCUGCAAUUGCUAUUUCUCUUUACAUACGGUGCUCGUAUCUUUUACGACGUUGAUACUCCGGGCUGUUGGUUGAUCCCCUCGAAUUUGACAUAUUCCCCACGGGAUGGAAACUUAAUAACUUGAUGCAGAGUUGAUGGAACAACAUCCAUAUCAUGGAUCCACGGUCUCCCCAUGUUUAUAUUGUAGGCCAUUUCCAUAUCAACUACCUGAAAUUUAGUUUCUUUAAUAACACCUGCAGUUAUACUGUAUGCCAUUUCCAUAUAAACUACCUGAAAUUUAAUUUCUUUAAUAACACCUGUAGCAAAAGUUAUUACAAUUACCUCUCCUUUUGUUACCACGCUCGAAUUGUCGAAGCCUGACAAAGUAUGCGCCUUGGGUAUCAUUUUAUCUUCAGCUUGCAUUUCCCGUAAUACCCUUAGCAGAAUGAUAUUUGUAGAACUCACUGGAUCAAUCAAAACUCGUUUUACAUUAGUGUCAUGUACAAGUAAAGAUGUAACCAGUGCAUCAUUGUGAUGAGCAAUCACUCUUUUUGUAUCUGCGUUAUCAAAGUUUAUGCUUUCGUGCUCUAAGGUUUGUCGUACUCGCUUCCCGUGCGUGAUCAUCAUUUUGGAAACCUUAUUUGAAGUUGUAUACGUUACUCCAUAAAUAUCUUCUCCUCCACUGAUAAAGUUCAUAGUUCUCUUAGGCGAUGGUGGUUUCGGUGGAUCCUGCCUAUUUUUCGUAUAAGCAUGUUUUUCCUUUUCACUAAAUAUCCUUGCUGCAAUAGAUGGUCCACUUCACUUUGUAGGAAUCUGCAUUUUGAUGUUUUAUGCCCGUGGUCGUUGUGGAAUUCGCGCCAAUGGUCUGGUUUACGCCUGUUUUGAUUUGAUCGCAUCUUUUUUGGCCACCGUACAAAAUUAGUUACAUUGAAAUUAUCGCCAUCAAAUCGUGCCUUUAAAUUCCUCUCGUCAUCUUAUGGCUCUUGAUUCCUUCGAUCACCUCUGAACCUGGAUGAAGACCCGGUCUCCCUGUUUCUUGGCCUUUGAUCAUAUCGUUGUUUAUCCUGUUUUGAUCAUGAAUCUUUUCCUGCAGGUCCCAUAUAUGGAUCGCAUCUAUUCUUACUUGAUCUUUUUUCAGCUUCUGACCUCCUGGACACGUUCCUUUCUUCACGAUGGUACUGAGGUACGGUAUCCUCUUCAAUUCUGAGCUUAGUAUUGUACCUGCUAUAAACAUAAUUCCAAGUGGUUGCAGGAAAUUCAUGAAGACUUUCUUUAAGACUUCUCGUGGCAUCUGAACUUUUGUCAUUCAGAUUGCUUGCAAAAGCUAUCGCUGCCCAGUUAUCUGGUAGACGGGGUAGAGUCAUUCUUUCACGUUGCAAUCUAUCAAUAAAAUCUCUGAGCAGUUCAGAGUUCCCUUGUUUGAUUUUGAAGAUAUCCUCCAUUCUUUUCUCGACCUUUUGAGCUCCCGAGUGUGCUUUAAUAAAAUAAUCUGCAAGCGUAGCAAAAGAAUUUAUAGAAUUUUCAGGUAAAAGAGAAUAUUAGGUUAAUGCUUCCUUGGUGAGCGUUUCUCCAAAUUUUUUGACCAAUACUGAUUCAAUUUCCUGUUUGAUCAAGUUGUUGCCUUUUACGCAUGUUGUAAACGCAGUAACGUAGCCACGUGGAUCUGUUGUACCAUCAUAUUUUGGAAUGUCGGGCAUUUUAAUCUUCUUAGGAUUGGGAGAGGAGCAACAGUUGACUUCCAAAGUUGUUGUGAGUACUUGUCUAUAUCCACUCCUUUUAUUAUAGGUGGAACUCCAUGAAUUUUUUCAAUGCGCUCAUUUUGUUCCUUGAGCUGUUUCUGCAAGGUUAAUACUAAAUUUUGAAAAUAAGAAUUAUCUGAGUUACAUGGUUCUCCUUCUUGCGAAUCACUGGGGGUUGCCCCAUUACCAGAAUUGACUAGACCAGAGCGGGGGUUUUCCAACGUGUUAUUAUUCGGCGUUGUUGGUGUAGUAGGCAAUCGGCUAACUAAAGCUUCCAAGGCUAUAUCAAUUCGUGCAUCAAUUAUCUGUUGUAGAAGCUCAUCUCUUGUUUCUACUCCCCCAUCAGCAUGUUCAGAUAGAUCAUUAGGAGUUCCUUCUCGAGAUCUAAGUGGAGAAGCUUGAGGAAGAGGAUCACCUUGUUCAUCUCCUACCACUUGAUGAAUUUGAUUUUCUUGAUUGUUAUUGUCGUUGUUGUUUGACAUGAUGAUAACAAUGAGUAGAAUAUAAUUUAAAAAAGGAUAAAUUAUCAGAUUCCUGGCAACGAAACCAAUUUAUUUAGCCAAAAAAUAAUAUUUUGGUCAAAGCUAGAAUUUAAGAUGAAAAAUCGAGUUACUGAUAAUCAAGAGACCAAAAAAAAAUAAUAAGCUUUCUGAGAAUAAGAAUAAAGCAGUAAACAAGUUUGUGUUUCAGUAUGAUAUCAAUGAGUUUUUCGUGUCCUUACAAAUAAUGUGACUUCUUCAUUUUAUAGUUGAUUCUAAGUAAAUGAAUGGAACUUCAGCUUUAAUGAGAUAAUUAUGAGUAAUAAAUGAUAUUAAAUAAGCCAUUACACAAUCAUUCCUAUUAAAUACUAAUUUUCUAAUGUAUCAUGUAUUUAGUAUUGAAUGUGGACUCCUUUUUGUCAUCAGAUCCAUGUCUUUAAUGUCUUUUAAUCCGUUGGCUUUAAAUGACUUAAAUUGGUAUGAGACUCGUGUCUGAACUACUUCUCGCACCUGUUUAACUUUCUCUUCUUGUAUUUGUCGCCAAACGUGCCUUUUACUUAUGCAUGUGUUUCCCUUUAUGAAAAAAGUUUGUUCUGUGUGCCUUAAACAUUAAAAAAAAACCACAUAAUUAAUGCAUUAAGCACUAGAAGAUCUAAUCUUUUUGUCAUUUUUUUUAAUCGUUAGCAGCAUGACAGCUCUCUAGGAGACUUUCUUCGAAAAACAAAAAAUAUAACAGUAUAUCCUUCCGAUACAUUCUAAGUAUUUUUUCUUUGUUGUUUUUACGCAGGAAUUCACUUUUUAGGAUUAUAUUUUGUUCAUUAAAAAUAUAAUAAAUACUUCUGGACUUUUUAUUUCAAAGGCAAUUUCUAAAAGAAAGUUAACUCUUUUUUUAUAUUUAAUAAAUUAAAUAUAAUAGACCAUAAAAAACCUAAAAAUUACUUAAAGUGGACCCGAAAGAGUAAGAUUUAUUGAGUUGCAACUUCCAAUUCUCGAGUUAUGGAUAAAUGGAUAUCCCCAAAGAAUGGCAAGGAAGGAUUCGUUCCUUAAUUUGAGGCAAAGGAAUCAACACGGAAAAGGGACUUGCAUGUGCGGACCUAUAAAAAUUUCAACUGCAUGCUCAAAUUAAGCUGAUGGGUCGAACAAAAUUUUUGCCCCUGUUGUUGAGAUUUUGAUAUAAUCUUAGUAAAUAUUACUACUAAGUACUACAUAUACGAACCUAAUACCUAAUUCUGAGGAGGGUGAUAUGUCAGUAAGGGUCAGAGACAACUUGAAUAUAUUCUGAAUAGUAGGAUUGUUGGUCGUGAAAUUGAAACAUGGAUAUCUUUUUCAUUAUAGCACUGCCAAUAUGUGGCUUGAAAUACUAGCCAAUACACACUUAUUUGUAUGACCCGGGGCGAAGUUGAGUGAGCGCGAAAGGCGUUCAGCUGAACCUAAAAAUUAUAUUGUAUGUAUAAAGUUAGUUUAUAUAUAUAUAUAGGUGUUGAAUUUCAUUAGUUUUUUUCUAUGUAUUUACUUUUUUAUUUUUGAAUUCCUUUAGGCGAAAAUCCUGCGUUCGUCAUCAUUUCUACAUGAAAUUAAAUAUGAUCGAUAAUACAAAAAUCUCGAUAAUGACAAGAUACCUUCGUUGGUCUGUUAUAGAUUUACCCUACGUUAUUACUAGCAUAUUGAUAAUACGUGAGUUAAAAUCAUGAGCUUGAGGACGAGAGAUCUUACUUGUAUAAGAACUGACAGGACGAUCAACUAGAAACAAGGCACAACAAUCUUUUCACUUCUAGUCAUUAGUAAGUGUUGGAGUAUUAUUUUGUCCUCCAAUGAAUGUAGUAAUUUUUGUCCCUCACUUUAAAGAGUAUAGUUUAUUAUUAAAGAGUAUAGUUUAUUAAUCUAAUGUGACUCCAUGAUUCUACAAGUAGUUUCGUGCCUCAUCAUUUUACAUAACAUCGGUUUGCUUGAAAAUUUUGAAUAAGAGAUUUUGGGGAAAUAUUCAAUUUAUGCAAAAUCAUUUGCAACCAAUAUUUUGGAAAACCUUGCAAUGGGUUUCUCAAAAUAUUGGAAAAAUUCUUUGCACAAAACUUUCUGGUGGAAAUGACGCUAUGCAUUAUUUUUUAGCAUGUUGUUUAAAAUAUAUUCAUAGUUUAUAAUGUAUUUAACGAUUAGUUAAUUUUUCUAAAUUUCAUGACACAUUGUCCCGGAGUUUAAACCUCGAUGUUCAAACUUCAGGACAUCGAGUCCUGAAAUUCGAAAAUUGUAUCCAGAAAUUCAAAUUUUAUGUCAUGAUUUUAGAUUAGUAGUUCAGAAAUCAGGACACUUAAACCUAAAUUAAAGUCCUGAAUGUCAAAUUAAAAGUUCAAACUUAAUCUUGAAUUCAAAUUAGAAAUUUAAAAUUUUAGGGCACUAAGUCCUGAAUUUCAAAUAAGCAGCGCAAAAAUUCAGGAUACUUAGUCCUGAAGUUUGGGGGAAUUGGCUAAUCUUUAAAUACAUUGUAAAUUAUGAAUAUAUUUUAAAUAACAUGCUUAAAAGUGUCUACUAGUGCGCUUCGCGCAACCUUUCGUUCAAAUGUUUGAAGCAAGCGCUGUGAAGUUGGGUAAAGUGCACCAUUAGCAACUUUAGGCCUGAUGUUUAAAUAUAUCUAUAAUUUACUAUUUGAAAAUUGGCCAAUUCACCCAAACUUCAGCGGUAAGUAUCAUGAAUUUAGAAUUCACGACUUAGUGUCCUAGUGAUGGACGCACUAACAUGAUAUAUUCAAGGGGAGUUUCCAUGGCGUAUGUUAUUUGAUGAUAACAUAAUUCUUAUUGAUGGGACGCGAGGCGCUGUUAACGAGAGAAUGGAUAUUUGGGGACAUACUCUUGAGUCUAAGGGUUUCAUGUUGAGCAGGAUAAAGACAAAAUACUUGGAGUGCACUUUCAACACCGAGUCGAGGGAAGCCGACAUGGACAUCAGGCUUGGAUCACAGGUUAUCCCCAAGAGAGAUAGUUUCAAGUACUUGAGGUCGGUUAUCCAGGAGGACGGGGAGAUAGAUGAAGAUGUCACAGCACUAUAUAGGGGUGGGGUGGAUGAAAUGGAGGUUAGCAUCUAGAUUCCUAUGUGAUAAAAACUUCCAUUGAUACUCAAAGGUAAGUUUUAUAAAACGGUGGUUAGACCGGCCAUGUUGUAUGGUUAGAGCGUUGGCCAGUUAAGAACUCACAUAUACGGAGGAUGAAAGUAGCAGAAAUGAGGAUGUUGAGUUGGAUGUGCAGGACACACUAAGAUAGAUAAGAUUAGGAAAGAAGAUAUUCGGGAGAAGGUGGGUGUGACUCCUAUUGAUGACAAGAUGGGGAAAACGAGACUCAUAUGGUUGGUCAUGUUCGGAGAAUAAGUCCUGAUGCCCCGCUAAGAAGAUGUGAGUGGUUGGUUUUGGCUGGAACGAUAAGAGGUAGAGGACGGCCUAAGAAAUAUUGGAGAGAGCUAAUCAGGUAGGACAUGGAGUGGCUUCAAAUUUUCGGGGACAUGGCCCUUGAUAGGAACGUGAGGAGAUCGAGCAUUAGGGUUGUAGGUUACGAGAUAGUUGAGUAUUCGUCUACUUCGUUCGAGGUGUGAGGGUAGACUGAUAGGAUUUGUUUUAGAUUGCUAGUGGUUAAUAUUGUGUUCAGACUACUCUCCCGUUUUUCUUUACUGGUUAUUGUUACAUUGUUUCAACUAUUUUUUGGUUCUUAUAAUGCUCUUAUUAAUUCUAUGGUUUCUGUUGAUGGUGCUGAUAUAUUAUUUUUUCAUCUUUUUCAUUUUCUUGAGCCAGGGGUCUAUCAGAACCAACUUCUCUACUCCAUCAGGAUAGGAGUAAGGUCUGGGUACUCAAUACCCUCCCCAUACCCCUUACCUAUGAAAUUUUACUGAGUUGUUAUUAUUGUUGUUAUUGUUGUAAUAUGAAAUUCAAGUCACUUUGUCCUGAAUUUCUGAACUGCUAAUUUAAAAUUCAGGAUAUAAGAUUCAAACUUCUUGACAUAAUUUUCGAACUUUAAGACAUGAUAUCUUGAAGCUUGAAUUUUGAGGUUUAAACUUCAAGACGUUGUGUCACGAAGUUCGAGCAAAUAGACUAAUCUUUAAAUAUAUUGUAAACCGUGGAUAUAUUCCAAACAACAGGCUUAAAAUGGAUACUUGACGAGAUAUCCACCAUGAAGUUGGACAAAAGAAUUGAUCUAGCGUAGUUGGGAUUUUACCUAACUAUAAUAUAGUAGAAACCUAUUUACUAUAUUUAUCGAGGUUCCUUAUUAAUUACUUGAUAUAUCAAUAUUUACUAGUGUUAUACAAAACCAUAAAAGGGAGAAAAUGAAGCAUACCCUAAAUACUCGGUAUCAGUUAUACAUAAUCCACCUACAUUUAAGAUACUCUUCCUUUUUUAAAGGAUUAUAAAACAUCAUAUGUCUUUGUACUUACCCACUGUAAGAAACCCACUGAUACAAAUCAUCACCUAUCUUUUAUACAAAUCAACCAAUCUCUCUCUCUCUCUCUCUCUCUCUCUCUCUCUCUCUCUCUCUCUAUCCCUCAUACAAAUCAAAUUAUUAUUUCUCUAAAAUUGUAGUAUCAUAUAUUUCUCUGAAUCAAUUCCACCAACAACCAUGUGUCAACUAUAUGACAAAUUCCAUCAACAUUAUCUCUGACAUUGUAGGUGGAGGGGUCUGGCAUUGACAUACCAUUAAAAAGAUUCGAAGCUUUGAAUUAGAUAUUUAAAUUUUACGGAUUGGUGGCUUUUUUUAGAUUGGGUGUUCUUGAAAACGAUUCAAAAUAUCCUUUAGAGUUUAUAUCUAAAUUUUAAAGGAGAUUCGUUAAGUUUAAUGUUGGUUUUAGGUUGAAUUUCUUAUUGAAACUCAAGGAAGAAGAAGUUUCGGAAUUGUAUUACGAUUGUAUGAUAAAAGUAUCAUAAUUAUAUUUGAGUUGUAUUUGAUACGUCAAUACCUAAGACAAUUCUGAUAUAAUAUUAAUACUAUUAAAAAUAUAAUAUUAUAUCAUAAUUUAAGUUUAGAGUUGGUUCUAGGUAGAUGUUUAAUAUUGAAACCUGAAAAAGAUGAAGAUCAAAGUUGUAUCAUAAUCUAGAAUUGUAUCAUAAUUGUUUCGUAAUUUGUAACUAAAACAAUACAUGAUAACAAUGCUAAUACGAAUAUAAUACGAUAUUGUAUUAGUUUAAGUUUAGAAUCGAUUUUAAGUUGUAUCAUAACUAUAUUAGAAUUGUAUAAGAAUACUUUCGGGAUUGUAUCAAAUUUGUAUCUGAACAAUGAGUAGUUAUGAGUUCAUGAUGAAAUUUAUUAUUUAUAUUACAAAUAUAUGAUAAUUAUACAUUAAUUUAUUAGUAUUGUAUCAGGUAUUAUUUUGAAUAUUAAUGUACCAUUUACUGGUUAGAUACAAUUGUGAUAAGUAUGAUACAAUUAUGUUUUAUGCAUUGAUAUACCUUAUACAAUUUAAAUGCAAUUAUGAUACAGUUUUCAUACAAUUCCUAAAUAUUUUUUUUAUUUUCAGUGUUGUUCGGCCUCCCAACAAAAGAACGAUGCAAUUGAUGAUUUAAUAAUAUAAAGCUAUCGCUAAUGGUGGGAAGAGAGAAGAUGGAGAUUCUGGGUGUAGAUUAAAGGAUUUUAAUGUUAAAAAAAAAAAAAAGAGAAGAGGAAAGGGAAAAAUGAAAAGAUAUAAUUGAAUCCCUUAAUUGAAGGUACUAAUAAUGAGAUGAGAGCCUUUUAAGGAGAAUACAUUUAAAUGGGUCUGAGGUUAAAUUAUUUUUUUAAUCCAUUCUUAGAAUGCAAAGGGCGAAGAAGAAAAAAAAAUUAUCCAUAAAAAAAACAUGUGGUUUCGUUUCAAAUCUAAGAGCCCUUUCUGCAUUUUUUCUAUUAUAUUAGGAAAUAAUGAAUCUACAUCAUUUGUAAGAAAAAUCUAGACACUUACUAAAAACUACAAAAUAUAGAGAAUAUUGAUAAAACAAUUUCUAAUAUAGUAUCGGGGCGAGCUGAUCAGGCAGGACAUUGCGCGGCUUCAGAUUUUCGAGGACAUGACUCUUGAUAGGAACAUGUGGAGGUCGAGCAUUAGGGUGGUGGGCUAGGAGUAGUUUUUUAACCAAAAAUAAAAUUUUAGCCAAAGCUAGAAUUUUGAAGAAUACGGGUUACCGAUAAUCAAAAGAAUAUAUAAAGGAAGUAAUUUUAGCUGAAAGUAGUAUAAUCAGAAGUAAAGCAAGUAAACCAAAAUAUAUUCAGAUAGUGUUUCGUGUCUUUACAAAUGUUCAGUCCUCUCCCUUUAUAGUAAUUUUGGAGAUAUGUGCCUUGCCUUUGUCAUAAUAAGGCUAUUAUGGGUAAUUAAUCAUAUUGAAUGCUAUGUUACAUAAUCAUUAUAUUUAAUACAGAUUUUCUAACAUUUUUAGUAUUUAAUGCUCAUUAAAUACUGUAUUUGGACUCUCAUGUGCUGUCAGAUUCAUUCCAUUGAUUCUUCUUGAUUCUUGAACUUAAAUGUCUUGAGUAGGUACGGGCGCUGAAUUCUUUGAAUAACCGACCGUGCCUCUUCCUCUUCCUUUGCUCGUAUCUGUUGCUACUCGUGCUUCUUGGCUAGUUGUAACUAUUUGACCAUUUGACUAGUUCACAUGUCACGACACGUCAUCUUCAUACCACUUUAAUAUAUAAACUCAAUUUUUCUCAAUACAGAUAGUCAUUCCACUUACCAUUUAUUUAUCAGUUGAAUAUUUGGGAAGUGGAUUUUAUUAAAGCAAGAAUUUUUGUCACCAUUAAUGCUAUGACUGAAUUGACGCUUCAAUUGUCACUUCCAUUUAAUUCUCUUCACACGUGUCACUUCCCUAUUGGUUCUGCAGUUUACAGCCCCUUUUAAGGCUUUUUUAUGGCUCCACUAUACAUGAAGCUCAAUUUUCAUUAUUAUACCCCUUCCAUUACUGCACUUUUUCCCUUGGCGGUUGCUAAUCAAUAUAAAUAUAACUUCUUUCUUUGUCUUCGAGCCCAUAAGGUUUACUGAACACUUUAUUUCUCAAAUCUCUAUUUGUUUCUUCCUCGUGUCAUCCUUAUUCACUAUGUCUUCAUCAAACCCUAACCUUAGGAGAGUUCCCAUUGUUGAUAUCUUGCCCAAUGCUCCUAGUAGGGGCAGAAAGGGAGAUAGACACCGCAGUUCGGAUCUACACGAGGCUUUUCCAUUUUAUCUCCUAGUUUUGGUCCGUCUUCUAGAACCAGAGGUUACCUUUCUCUAAAAUCUUCUUCUAGGGGUAAAUGUCACGACUCAAACCCGGUCGUGAUGGCGCCCAACUAUAACGCUAGGCAAGCCUGACCAACAAUCGCUCUCAAUUCGACAAUAAAUCUCAAAAACCGAUAAUUUAAGGAAAAUGUAAUAGUUUUAGAAUAAUAAUCCAAUAUUUAUGGUAAAAUAAUACGGAGAGAUACGAAAUCCGAUAAAACACUCCCAUAAGAUCUGGGGUCACGAGUCUAGAGCCUUUAAAACAAACUGGAUAAUAAUUAUCUGAACGAAAUUACACAAGUCUGGAAAUGUAUGUAUGUGUAUAUAUAUACAUAUACAUAUACAUAUAUAUACAUACAUACAUACAUAUAUAUAUAUAUAUACAUACAUAUGUAUAUAUACAUAUAUAUAUAUACAUACAUAUAUAUAUAUAUACAUACAUAUAUAUAUAUAUACAUACAUAUAUAUAUACAUACAUACAUAUAUAUAUCUGAAAUGUGAGGAGUAGUCAGGUCCUGCGAACGUCAAGCAGCUACCUCAAAAAUUCUGAUAAGCUCUAGAGACAGAGACUGCUCAGCUAAGCCUCCGGUGCACCUGAAUCUACACACAAGGAGCAGGGAGUAGGGAUGAGUACUACCAACUCAGUGAGUAAUAAGUACAUAAAAUGUUUGAAGAUAAAAAUCCACGAAAUGCCAUAAAGUAAAGCUAAAACAAACAGUCUGACACAUUAACUAUGAACCAACAACAAAACAAUAUCAAAUAUAUCAGUCAAGUAUAAUGCAAGAAUGCAAUGCAAGGAAUUGCACAUGACCCGCUGCGGUGUACAGCCCGAUCCAUUGGGUACCCGCGCUCAUUGGGGGGGGUGUACAGACUCCGAAGGGGCUCCUAAAGCCCAAGCGCAAUAUCAUCUUAUCAUUACUGCAGCGUGCAUCCCGAUCCAUACUCAGUCCACAGUAUGUCAUUGAGUCACAUAACAGAUUCAAUUAAUUUCUCAGUUUCAAAUUAUUAAGAAUAUUAUAAUUUAGUUAUUUAACUUCAGGACAAAUGAUUUAGCAUUUCAUAACAGUGAUUAAACACAUGACUAAGAUUAAUGAUUAUAUAAAUCAUGCAAUCACAAUAAUAUUCAUCCUCUGAGGAUGCUACAGAUCGGCACAAGGCCUCAAGCAUGGCAAUAAGCCCAGAUAUAUUCAAUACAGGGUGCGUAUCAGUCGCCAAUAUAGUAAAAUUCCUGUUCGGGAUGGACCAAGUCAUAAUCCCCAGUCAUAAACACCAUGCACCUGCCAUGGGGUGCGAGUCACGCCCUAAUAUAGCGUCACAGUGUGAUAAACCGGGAUUUUAAACCCUCAGGCCAUCAUCUAUACAGAGUACUCAACUCUAACCGGUUGUAGGCUAGUCAGCAAUGCCCUUUUCAUCUUGAAUCGACCUCUUCGAAUCGAAUCAUAUCUAAACCACAACGAAUACGUUACAUUAUGCUAAUGAAACAUAGCCCAAUCGAAAUUACUCGAAAAUCGCUAAAAAUUACGAAGUUGGCAAAACCCGAGCCCCGGGCCUACUUCUCGAAAUACGAAAGUCACAUCACCGGACUCCUCAUCACGCCACGAGCUGGUACAUAUAAAGUUUACCAAAAUCGGAGUUCAAAUGACCCCUGAAAUCUUAAAUUCUUAUUUUCAAAUCCUUAGGUCCAAAAUCCCCAAUUUACACCGCAAAAACAUGUAAUCUAGUCGGAUUAUUCGAUGAUAAUUCAAUAUUAUGGAGUAAAAAUAAUCACAAGUGACAUACCUCAACAUUUCUUGUGAUUUCUUGCUCAAAAAUCUCCCCAAGCCGUGUUUUUUUCGCAAAACAAAUCGGUCAAAAACGAGCUGAAAAAUGCAGCAGCUUUAUUGAGCUAAUCUGGUCGCUAAAAGUCCCAAAUUUGGUCGCUAAAAGUGCCACACCAGACUAGGGGUGUUCAAAACCGAUCCGAAACCGAAAACCGAACCGAACCGAAGCUUAAUGGCUUAAGCAUAAAAGGGGAAAAAUGGGGCGGAGAUACAUGAGACAACGGAUCGAGUCGUUACAUCCUCCCCAACUUAAACAAACGCUCGUCCUCGAGCGUGCUCAGGGUUGUACUAGGAGCCAACCAACACCUGAAUGGCCUUACCAACCAUAUACCCGGGGUGAUCCCAUGUCACCCUAACUCACAUAGGCCCGAUAAUACAACGCAGCUAAAAUUUCACAGUCCAUCUAGACCAUAACUGUAGAACCACAUUGCACUUCCGAAACCAUACACAAGAUCAGAACCUUACAUUUAUAUAUAUAAUUGUGGGUGCUGCUUGCAACAUUUUAAUAGCUGGAUUUUGUGCUCAAGAAGAUGUGUUUUCAGCCCAAAAAUGAGAACUCCUGCCUACUGUGACUUGCCUCAUUGAUACAUUUUGCAAGUUAGAUCAGAUCGACGAGACCAAGAAGUUGUUCUGCGAAAUGACAAUUGGUAGAACAUCUCUCCUGAUGUCUUCACUUAUAAUUGCCUCAUUCAUAAAUUCUCCAAGUUACAUCGACUGGAUGAGGCUGAAAGUCGUUUCACAGAAUGAGAUUACCACAUUUAUUGGCUAAGUACUAAUCUUGAAAUGAUCAAGGCAGCUAAUCACUUUUAAUUUAGCCCAACCAAAUUAGAAGAAAAUGCAUGAUUACCUACCCGUGGACCACUCAUCAAUGUUACAGGGUUGAAGAACAACUUACUUGGAAGCAAGACAGAGGCAAUCUGCAGAAACUUGUGCAGUUUUAUCUGCCACUUCUCACUCAUAAUUGCCCUCUUCAUAAUGUUGCAUCUUAGAAUACUGAAUGAGAAGAAGAGGAAUAUAAGAACCAACAUGGUUAAAGUAAUAUAUUCUUCGGGAACAAUGAGUUUCAACUAAUUAAAUUCUCAGUAGCUUAUUAGAAGAAUAAAUGGCAUAAAGAUCUGUUGUUCUUAAACUAAAGCUUGCAAAUCUAAUGAUCUUAGUAUAACUACUCAACGUCAAACACACUUGCGAAAUGGAACUGGACAUUGGANNNNNNNNNNNNNNNNNNNNNNNNNNNNNNNNNNNNNNNNNNNNNNNNNNNNNNNNNNNNNNNNNNNNNNNNNNNNNNNNNNNNNNNNNNNNNNNNNNNNNNNNNNNNNNNNNNNNNNNNNNNNNNNNNNNNNNNNNNNNNNNNNNNNNNNNCAAUAUACCAAUCCGUCCGAUAUCUUAUCGGGCGGCUAACGGAUGAAUACAUUUAAAAGCCGAUAACCGUUAAGCCAAACCGUUAAGAGUAAAUAGCCGCCCAAUCCGCCCGAUGAACACCCCUACACCAGACUUCAUGCACCAGCACUCUUUAAUUUUACUAAAAAUGCUCUAACUCCUUCAUGCGAACUCGAAAUUAGACGAUUCUUGUUUCUAUGAGUCACAAAUAAUAAUACAAACACAUCCCUUCAAUAGAAACUCAAUUCGGAGCUCAUUUGCCCAGUGCGAUAUCCAUUUCGCUCGUUAAAUAAUUACUCAUGUUUUGUGUCAAAACUCAAUCGCGACUUGAUGAAAUUAGACUAAAUUUCCAGAUCAGUCCUAUAAUUCAUUAUCAAAAUUGAAUCUCUAGAACUAAAAAUGAACCUUAUAUCAUUACGUUUAUGCUCAAAACGACAAAAAUCAUCCAAAAACUCUUCCAAAAUUUAUCCGAGCCUCAUGGAAUCCCAACAAAGUAUACGAAAAAGUCCCAAAACACAUUACGGACUUGCUCGAGGCUUCAAAUCACAUCAAACAAUGCUAAAAUCAUGAAUCAACCUCCAAUCCAAGCUUGAUGAAUUUGAAGUUUCCAACUUCUAUUUCCGAUGCCGAAACCUAUCAAAUCACGUCUGAUAGACUUCAAUUUUGCACACAAGUCAAAAAUGACAUGAAGAAGUUACAAAAAUUCUCAGAAUUCUAUUCCGAGCCUCGGAUCAAAAUCUCACCGGUCAACCGGAAUUCGCCAAAUUCCCAACUUCGCCAAAAUAGGCUAAUUUCCACACCGAGCCUCCAAAUUCACUUCCGAUUGCUCUCCUAAGCCUUAAAUCAUGCCCCGAAACUAGUCGAACCAUAAGAAAUACAUUCCAAUCCUUGUAACUCAAAAGUCAACAUACGGUUGACUUUUCCAAAUUACCCUUUCCUUAAAGAGAAUAUUUGUCUCAUUUCUAGCCGAACUCUAUUCGAAUUACCUCAAAUUCACCAAACACAUAUAAUGAAACAUACAGAAGCAUAAAAAGGGGAAAACAGGGUGGAGAUACAUAAGACGGCGGGUCGGGUCGUACAUCCUCCCCAACUUAAACAAACGCUCGUCCUCGAGCGUGCUCAGAGUUGUACUAGGAGCCNNNNNNNNNNNNNNNNNNNNNNNNNNNNNNNNNNNNNNNNNNNNNNNNNNNNNNNNNNNNNNNNNNNNNNNNNNNNNNNNNNNNNNNNNNNNNNNNNNNNNNNNNNNNNNNCCUUACCAACCAUAUACUCGGGGUGAUCCCAUGUCACCCUAACUCACAUAGGCCCGAUAAUACAACGCAGCUAAAAUUUCACAGUCCAUCUAGACCAUAACUGUAGAACCACAUUGCACUUCCGAAACCAUACACAAGAUCAGAACCUUACAUUAAUACUCAGAAUAAGCCCAAACUAGUUGUAAUAACCCAUACAUGUGACCGCAGGUGAACCCAUGCAACAAACCACACAAUCCAACACUCGAAACAAUAGCUACUAUUCACAGCAUUUGCCCACAACACCCAAAUAACGGUGGAAAAACCUUUUAUUAACCAUGGUCUUAUUCUAACACUUCCAUACACUGCCAACAAUAAAUGAAACACGCAAUACUGCAACAGCCUCUCAGAUCAACCAUUCAUGAAGUCACUUCCCUUUAGACUACUAUCACAACAAAUUUCCGAGUCGAACCUCGAUAUUAACCUUCCAACAAGCUGCAACCAAAUCCGUUCGUAUUCAUUAAUAACCCCAAUGAUCACCUCGCAUCCUACGUACGAUUCUAGUGAUAUGAAACCUUAUCACCGAAAAUCCAACGAUCACCUAGAAUCCCACAUACCAUUCUGCUGAUAUGACACCUUUUCACCGGCCUAAGCCACGCUUACAUAACACGCGCACCAAUAAGGAACGACUUGAAUAUACUCAAAUCCUGAUAUUACCUCAACAAAAGAGCUGUAUCUCAAGCUUAUCAGUACCAUCACAACACAAGGUGGAGACCUCGCCUCACAUCAUAGGAAAUAGAAUACCUGAAUCCUCCUUGAAAGGCCAUGACUUCACGUGACCUCGCCAUAAGGCGCGAUUCUGUCCAAACACUAUUACACAUGACGUACCUCGAGUCACCAUGCUCGAAAUAGACAGCCACGCACAGAUUGAUGUCUGAAACCAAGCAAUCCAUCACACCCAUGGUGAAGCAAGUAAUAUACACCAUUCAAUCAUGAAAGGACACAACCAAUGCGCUAUUCGCCGAGCAACUCCCAAUACGGACUUUCUUCAGAAACCAGGAAGCAAGGCAUACAAAGUAACAUAUGGAAACUAUCCUCAACAUCACAUUGUUGCGGCGCGCAACCCAAUCCAGAUAAUAUACCAUGUGGCAACGUGUCACCCAAUCCAUACGAAUCUCACAUAGGGAGAUGCACAUCGAGCCGAAUUUGCUUAUUAUAACAAAAUAUCGAGUAUCGGUCGUAAGCACACCAAAUUCAUAAUCAUAUCUACUUAUGUCGGUGUAAGCUACAAAACUCAACUUCCACUAUGAAUCUCGAUAGCAGCGCAAUUUAUGUACCACUGCCCAAAAAUCAUAGCGCCUCACAGCACCAAAAAGAAACUCAAAGAUCUUCCUAGAUCACUAGUAGAUCCAAUAACGAUUGAAUCAACCCAUCCUUUAUCAAUACAAUUCGGGACUAACCAAGCCAACCCAAGCUAAACAGGUAUCCAACUAGCUUACCAGCAAGCUCAUUACCAAUAAGCCUGAAGUUGCAUCUUCCACUACUAUAACUCAUGCCAGAGUCGUACGAUUUGGUUACCCGACACCAAAUAAAUUUGAAAUUCAAAAUCUCGCCCAGAGAUAUGCUCGGCCAAAAGGAACGCGUUCGUAAAGUUCCUUCAAUAUCGGAUCUGAAUCAAUGGUAGAAACCUCUAUACUGACAUCUGUCAAAAAGGCCCAAUUAAGUAAAGCAAUUCUUCCCAGCCGUUCGUUGGUUUUUGGAAUGCAACUCACUUUUACUAUAACAUCACCUGAUGCACCUCGCCACGAAACCAGUGGCAAUCUUCCAGCAUAGCCCAUAACACAAUAGUCUAGGAUAACCCAACAUUGAGGCAACCAGUAUACACCCAAUAUCAUAUCCAAAAUUGAUCGUAUCAACAAAUAAAGAUCCACUCUAGCAUCCAAAUCCUAAUUUCCACUAAACGGUUCUGAAUACACACGAUCCACAACCACGACAUAAACUAUGUCGGAGAACUCCAGUCUCCCCCUCCAUAUAACACACAAACCGCUAUACCUAGUCCCACGUUCCGCCGUAUGAAUACAUAUUACACAUCAAGAACCCAUCACUCCACAAAAGAUAUUCUAAAAUUUCUCUGUGCAAUCAGCAAACUCGAAUAUUAGUUGUCGAUCCAACAAGAAGAAUGUCGCAACUCUACUGAUGUAUCAUUAGUCUGUUCACAUUACCAUCCUUCCGAGACAUAUACUAUCGCUAAAUCACCUCUAAUUACCAGUACCAUUUCCUUGAUUACUCGAGACUACUCGUUGCCUAAGAACAUUAUGAACUUCUUUUCAGAAUUGAACCGAAACCUCGCACACGCCCGUCUCGGCCCCCUAUAACAUACCGCACCUACCAUACUUUCCAAGGAUAACACGAGAACUUUCGUCCCCCUUCCGUACCGCAGACUUCGACGCACUCAACUAGUCCAGAACAUUCAUUGAUCCCAUUUAGAAAAAAAAUCAUUACGCACUCCAUGCUCCGCAAGUCCAUAGAAAUAUACAUCCCCAAACCCUGAUGAAACCCAAUGCGAAUUCUCUCCCAAUUCUGUUUGUACAAGCUAAACUGCCAGGACUAAAUCCUUCUACCUGAACAAAGCCAAGCACACUGUCAGUACUCACGAGCCUUGCUGCCCAAUGCUUGUAUAAACUCAUUACUUCGAAAACAUACAAAGAAUUGAUCAUAUCUUUACCACACUGAUUCGGUCCAUUAACAAGCUACUUCAUUUGUCUAGAUUUCCUUCUGAUUCAUUUUCAACUUGAUAUACUCUAUUGAUGUAGCACCAUAAUGCCUCAACCCAGGCAUACCACACGAGUAUCGAACGUAAGACCACACUGUCUAAUCAUUCGUGCCUUAUCAGCACUCUGACACCGCAGGACAUGAUCUCAUUCCAAUACAACCAAACCACUUCCUUCUCUUUACACUAAGCAUUCUUUAUCAAUAACUCAAGACAUCCGAUUAUUUUCUCACAUCUACUAAGCACCAUAUAACCUUUGUCAAAAAAUUUUCUUCACUCGUGCCACCCUCGGCUAAAUUUCUACAACCAGAACUGAUUCACCCGCAGGCAUUAAAUCGAAACUAACAUAAUACAUGACCGUACAAUCAGCUAAACAACAACAACCUCCCCAACUUCGCUCGAAGCCAUAUAUAUCACAAUACAUAUACUCUAUUGCUGUCGUAAUAUCAUGGUGAGAUUACACUCACUCUUUCCUAAGCUUGUGGAAACACGAAUCAUCAAAAAUUUUAACUCUUCUGCAAUUCUUGCAUUCAUUCACCCAACGGUUAAGCCCAUUCUUUAGGCGACCAAAUUUUUACUAAGUCCCAAAUUUUUCAAAAAUUUCGACAGGGCUUCCUUUUUAGUUGGGCCUAUCCACCUGCCAGAAAAUCACCAAAACCAUCCUAGCAACACGUCCAUAACUUGACAAAGCACCACAAUGUAUAUCAACAACAUUAAUCCCGAUUUACAUGUAUUAUAUUAUCAAACUUAAUGCAUGGACAUGCGUUGCUCCUAUUUGAAUCAUAACACAUGGGAAGUACCUUUCAAUUACACAUGAAAUCUUCUCAUAGUAUUCAUAGGAAUCGCAUCACUUCAGAACACUCCGUAGGGGAUAAACCAUCUGCUUCGCCGCAAUAUAACAUUUCUGUAUACCUUCCGCUGUCAUACAUAUUACACAGCUACUGAGUCUUCCCGGGUCUAAACUCAUAUUGUAUCAUGCAAUUUACUUCACUCCCACUAGGAGCCUUGAAAAGAUUCUUCAUGCGCCUAUAUUCGGGAUACACAUCGAACCACAAUAGGAAACGAAUCACUUAACAGUUUGUCUAUUAUCCAGCAAACUUCUUCGUCGCUACCAAGUCAUAUAAUUGCAUCUCGCAGCACUAACAUACUCAAUCACAUUAAUACCAAACUUCCAUUAUGGCUAAUAGCGACAAUACCGAACAUAUGAGUUCAUAACACUAUCUCGCAGAAUUAGCACUCUGGUGCUCAAGCCAUAUGUGAAGACUCGGCCUCAAGUUCUCUAGACGGGCCCAACAUCAACCUCACGAAGAUUACAUCUUACCCCUCGAUCGGGGAAUCACAAGCCAUCAAAGCACAUCUGAUACCGAGCGCUCAUGCGCGAAUGCGAACACGUGGAAGGAAUUUUAAGAGUUACUCUUUCAAGCUGAAUCAAGGAUGCACGAUAAGAUUUCAAGAAAGUGCAGUGUUUCCUAAAGGUUCUAUAGCCUCCUGCUUAUAAGUGUGGUGCAUGGCACACCCAUAAACAGGACUCUACUAAGCCGGCUCAUGACUCGUGAGACGAAGUAUUUCCUAAAGGUUCUGUAGCCUCCCGGGAUAGAUACGGACGUCUACGUACCGAUCUGCAAGACUCUACUAACCGGCUCAUGACUCAUGAGGCCUAGUAACCUAGGCUCUGAUACCAACUUGUNNNNNNNNNNNNNNNNNNNNNNNNNNNNNNNNNNNNNNNNNNNNNNNNNNNNNNNNNNNNNNNNNNNNNNNNNNNNNNNNNNNNNNNNNNNNNNNNNNNNNNNNNNNNNNNNNNNNNNNNNNNNNNNNNNNNNNNNNNNNNNNNNNNNNNNNNNNNNNNNNNNNNNNNNNNNNNNNNNNNNNNNNNNNNNNNNNNNNNNNNNNNNNNNNNNNNNNNNNNNNNNNNNNNNNNNNNNNNNNNNNNNNNNNNNNNNNNNNNNNNNNNNNNNNNNNNNNNNNNNNNNNNNNNNNNNNNNNNNNNNNNNNNNNNNNAGUAACCUAGGCUCUGAUACCAAUUUGUCACGACCCAAACUCGGUCGUGAUGGCGCCCAACCAUAACGCUAGUCAAGCCUGACCAACAAUCGCUCUAAAUUCGAAAAUAAAUCUCAAAACAGACAAUUUAAGGAAGAUAUACUAGUUUUAGAAUAAUAAUCCAAUAUUUAUAGUAAAAUAAUACGGAGAGAUAGGAAAUCCGAUAAAACACUCCCGUAAGAUCUAGGGUCACAAGUCUAGAGCCUCUAAAACAAACUAGAUAACAAUUAUCUGAACGAAAAUACAGAAGUCUAGAAAUGUGUACAUAUAUAUAUAAACUAAAAUAGGAGGAGUAGUCAGGUCCUGCGAACGUCAAGCAGCUGCCUCAACAACUCUGAUAAGCUCUGGAGAAAGCGACUGCUCAGCUAAGCCUCCGGUGCACCUGAAUCUGCACACAAGGUGCAUUGAGUAGGGAUGAGUACUAUCAACUCAGUGAGUAAUAAGUAUAUAAAAUGUCUAAAGAUAAGAAUCCACGAAAUGCCACAAAGUAAAGCUAAAACGAACAGUCUGACACAUUAACUAUGAACCAACAACAAAAUAAUAUCAAGUAUAUCAGUCAAGUAUAAAGCAAGAAUACAAUGCACAUGACCCGCUACGGCGUACAACCCGAUCCAUUGGGUACCCGCGCUCACUGGGGGUGUGUACAGACUGCGGAGGGGCUCCUAUAGCCCAAGCGCAAUAUCAACAUAUCAUUAUUGCGGCGUGCAGCCCGAUCCAUACUCAGUCCACAGUAUGCAUAUGAGUCACAUAACAGAUUCAAUAAAUUUCUCAAUUUCCAAUUAUUAAGAAGAACAUAAUUUAGUUAUUUAACUUCAGGAAAAGUGGCUUAGCAUUUCAUAACAGUGAUUAAACACAGGACUGAGAUAUAUAAUUAUACAAAUCAUGCUAUCACAAUGAUAUUCAUCCUCUGAGAAUGCAAUAGAUCGACACAAGGCCCCAAACAUGGCAAUAAGCCCAUAUAUAUUCAAUACAGGGUGCGUAUGAGUCGCCAAUAUAGUAAAAUUCUUGUUUGGGAUGGACCAAGUCACAAUUUCCAGUAAUAAACAACCCCGCACCUGGCAUGGGGUAAGAGUCACGCCCUAAUAUAGCGUCACGGUGUGAUACACCGGGGUUUCAAACUCUCAGUCCAUCAUCUAUACAGACUACUCACCUCUAACCGGUUGUAGUCUAGUCCGCAAUGCCCUUUUCCUCUUGAAUCGACCUCUUCGCGCGUCAAAUCUAGUCAAAACCACAACGAAUACGUUAUAUUAUGCUAAAGAAACAUAGCUCAAUCAAAAUGACUCGAAAAUUGCUAAAAUCACGAAGUUUGAAAAACCCGAGCCCCGGGCCCACUUCUCGAAAAAUUACGAAAGUUACAUCAUCGGAUUUCUCCUAUCGGCACGAGCCCGCGCAUAUACAAUUUACCAAAAUCAGAGUUCAAAUGACCCUUCUAAUCUUCAAGUCUUAUUUUCAAAUCCCUAAGUCCAAAAUCCUCAAUUUACACCUCAAAAACAUGUAAUCUAGUUGGAUUAUUCGAUGAUAAUUCAAUAUUAUGGAGUAGAAAUAAUCACAAGUGACUUACCUCAAGAUUUCCCAUGAUUUCUUUCUCAAAAAUCGUCCCAAGCCGUAUUUUUUCGCAAAACAAAUAGGUCAAAAACGAGAUAAAAAAUGCAGCAGCUUUAUUAAGCUAAUAUGGUCGCUAAAACCCAAAUCUGGUUGCUAAAGUGCAGAUUGGUUGCAAAAAGUGCCACACCAGACCUGAUGCACCAACUCUCUUUAAUUUUACUAAAAAGUCUCUAACUCCUUCAUACGAACUCGGAAUAAGACGAUUCUUGUUCCUUUGAGUUAUAAAUAAUAAUACAAACACAACCCUUCAAUCAAAACUCAAUUCAGAGCUCAAUUGCCCAGUGCGACAUCCAUUUCGCUCGUUAAACAAUUACUCAUGUUUUGCGUCAAAAACCCAAUCACGACUUGAUGAAAUUAGACCAAAAUUUCCAGAUCAGUCCUAUAACUCAUUAUCAAAAUUUCGGAAGUCACAAAUUAAAUUUGGAUCUCUAGAACUAAAAAUGAACCUUUAGAUCAUUACAUUUAUGCUCAAAACGGCAAAAAUCUUCCAAAAACUCUUCCAAAAUUUAUCCGAGCCUCAUGGCAUCCCAACAAAGUAUACUAACAAGUCCUAAUACACAUUACGGACUUGCUCGAGGCUUCAAAUCACAUCAAACAACGCUAAAAUCAUGAAUCAACCUCCAAUCCGAGCUUGAUGAACUUUGAAGUUUCCAACUUCUAUUUCCGAUGCCAAAACCUAUCAAAUCACGUCCGAUUGACUUCAAAUUUUGAAAAAAGUCCAAAAUGACAUGACGAAGCUACAGAAAUUCUCAUAAUUCCAUUCCGAGCCUCGUAUCAAAAUCUCGCUUGUCAACCAGAAUUCGCAAAAUUCCUAACUUCGCCAAAAUAAGCUAAGUUCCUUAUCGAGCCUCCAAAUUCACUUUCGAUUGCUCUCCUAAGCCUUAAAUCAUCCCCCGAAACUAUUCAAACUAUCAGAAAUCCAUUCCAAGCCCUCUAACUCACAAGUCAACAUCCAGUUGACUUUUCCAAACUACCCUUUCCUUAAAGAGACUAUUUCUCUCAUUUCUAGCCGGACUCUAUCCGAAUUACCUCAAAUUCACCAAACACAUAUAAUAAAAUAUAUAGAAGCAUAAAACAAAGAAGAUGAGAUGGAGAUACAUGAGACGACGGGUCAGGUCAUUACAGUAAAGAACCUUCUGAACCAGUACAUGAGCUUUUAGUUGAAGAGAUAGUCCCCAUGGAACUAUCUUUUUACCAUGUCAGGGAAUCUCUUAGGAAUCAAAUUUCUGCUUUAGAUCAUGCUGAUGUCUAUCCCACCCAAACUACAGAAGUUUUGACUCAUGUAGUUCGUAAAGAUUGUCAUUAGAGCAAUGAUUUUCCUAUCAUUAUUCCUAAUCUAAAUAAAAGAAUCACUUCUUAUUUAACUAGAUUCUCUUUUGUUUAUACAUACUCUUUCACCUUAGGGUUCAAACCAGCUAUUGACCCAGUCAUUCUUGAAUUUUGUUGUUUUUUCAAUGUCUGUUUGUGUCAAAUUGCCCCAAUCAUAUGGAGGGAUGUUGCCUUUUUGAGGCAUUUAACCAAUAAAGCCGAUGUUCCCUUUACUUUCCCUCACUUAAUUCAUCUUUACUCCCCUGGGAUUUUUUGAAAUGGUAUUUUUACACUAGUAGACAGGAGCAAGAGGGCUUUGGUGAGCCCUGAAGAUGACAAGGACCGUGGCUGGUAUGCCCGAUUUGUUGCUGCCCUCACUAUUGGUUUAGUGGGUGAGGAUAAUGUUCCCUUCCCCGAGAAGGGAACUUUGCACGUAAGUCUUUUAUCUUUCUCGUGCUUUUUUCCUUCAAGUUUGUCAACUUUUCUAAUUUUGCUUUCCUUUUUUUAGCAACCAAGGGAGUUGUGGAAGAUGUUCCUAAUUUCUAUGGUUGUGUAAACAAAUUAAUGAAUACCGCACCAAUGGAUAGUAGGUCUUGGAAGACAUUUUCUAACUAUUUUGGUUAAAAAGUAAAGACUCAUGGCAAGAGCUUCUAUUUUAUUUCCUCUUUCACAUAUAUAUUUCUUUUUAUAGCUCUAAUUCCAACCCCUCUUUUUAUCAAGAUUUGCUAUUUGAGGAGUUACUGCCGAGGCAGUUGCGACCUCCCAUGUCUUUUCAGGAUAAAACCAUAUCUCUUUAAAAAGAGCUCAAGAAAUAAUCUUAGGCUCUUCUUCUGCAAAAAGAAAAGCUAUUAAGGAAGAGGACUCCGAUGAAGAUAUUAAAGAAGAGGAAGACAUGGGCUCUUUGGUGAAGAGGCCACGAGCACGAAGACGCAUCAUCUCUGAUGACGAAGCUGAAGCAUCUCCCCAUCUUUCCGUUUCUCUCACAGAGCCUAUUGGAGCCUCGAUAAUAAUUUCUAAUGAUGACGUCGCUACCUCUGAUACUCGUGAGUCUAUUGAACAACUUUUUAUCAGUGGGUUUGGUAGUGGAAGUUUAGGGCCCGUUUUACAUGAAACACUCUAGCCUCUCUUUCAACUCAUGUGUUUGUGACUCCUUUGUUGCCAACCCCAGCUGUUAUUGUUCCUUCUUCAACUAUUUUUACCUCUUCUACCACUCCUCCUUUGAUAAUUCCCCCUCCAAUAUUUCAUCAUACUGAAGUGGGUUCUUCAAGUAGAAGUGUCGCUAUGAGGAGGGUGGUCAUUGAAGUUCACGCUGAGAGCAACCUUUUGAGAAAGUAAGGUCAGAAAGAUGUAUGGCUGGAGCCUUUAAUUGGAUCAACUGAAAAAGCUCAGUUGGAGAGCCAUAGUUGCCUGACUCUACUGAAUGAUAUCGUGCAUGCCACAUUGAAGGUACUUUACUUCUCUCCCCUUUUUACUUUGUAAUUUUCCUAUCUUUUGGAUUCUAAUUUUCCCCUGAUGAAUAGAAUCCCGCUCUUGGAGCAGAUAGCACAUGACUCUCAAUUAGAGGCGUUCAAUUGGAAGGAAUAGUUCGAGAGUUAACGAAUUGACAUGGAAUUCUUACAAGAGAGGAAGAGUACCUUAGAGCAGCAGGUGCGGGCUUUAACCUCAGAGUUGGCGGUUAUAAAGCUUCCUCAAGCCAAGCAGAAAAAAAGAGCGUCCCGAAUCUUCUUUCUCAGAACAACUAUCCAAGGCCAAUGAAGAGAACAUAGAGUUGAAAGCCCAUUUGAGUCAAAAAGAAAAUUACGAUGGGGAGCUCGUGCGAAGCUUAACUCAAGCACAAGAAGACCUCUGAGUCUCUUCUGAUAAGGUGCGUGCUUUAGAAAGCUCCUAUGUAUCUCUUCAAACUUCUUACAACUCUGUUGUGGCCGAAAAUGAGGAGCUAAAGAAUGAGAUUGCCACUUGGGAAAGGGAUUAUGAGACCCUUGAGGAACAAUCUGUUGUUGAGGUGAGUUGGGCAUGUUUUUAAUUCACGUCGUGAUACACUAAUCAAAGCUAGCUAAGAAAACUUUAACUUGGAAUCUGAGUUGGCAAAAAUCAAUGAAACCAUUGAGAAAGCUCAACAAACUCAAGACUUCCCUUCUCCCGUGGCUGAAGCUUCGGUGAACGUUGAAGUCGAUUCUGGUAUCGCAACUCUUUCAAGCCCAAUCGAGCCUAUUGCAACAAGACAAGUUGAGCCUGCAACUGUUGAUGCAUCUGCCUCAAUUGAACCUGCAACUUUUGAUGCAUUGGCCCCCAAAUUGAGCCCGUUGCUAUUAAUGCUCCUGCUUCAGUUCCACAAACUUCUCAGUGACCAACUUUAAUCAUUUGAAUGAUUUUGUUUUUGUUUUUAUUUUUAAAAUUGUAAUCAAACCGUUGGCUUAAUUUGAGGGUUGAUUUUGAAAACACAAGUCCCCAAGUCUUUUAUGGGGCAAUCUGUAUAAACAAUUUCAUAGUUCUAUGACUAUGUUCGUACUUAGUCUUAUGUUUUUAAAAUAUUAAGAAGUUUUUCAUUUUAUUAUCUUAAGCUUCUGUUUGUUUUAUUCUUGCCUUUAUUUUUAAGGACUUACAGAAUAAUUUGCAUUCUUGUUCUUUGAAAAUGCUUCUAUUAAUCUCAUGACUAAUUUAUUUAGACAUGAGUUUCAUAAAAGAGGGCCCUUUUAUAUUUCGACACUUAAUGAAGAAGACGUCUCAACUUCAUAAUGGUGUUAUCAUCCGAUAAAAUAAAUAGGAACACACAUAUUUCUUUGAAAUAACUUUGACAAGUUUUUAUUUUUGAACCUUAUCGAGUUUUAAAUAAUACUUUAUAUAUUUUUGAAUUACAUCUAUAACUUUUUCGUAAUUGUUUUUCUUGUAACAGAUUUUUACAAAAGAAGAAUGAUAGACAUGAGGUUUUUCCUUAUAACCCGUUUUAGUACAGAGCCUUUUCCUUAAAUGUAAUGAGGUUUUCUUUGGCAUUAGCUCGUGACUUCGUGACUUUUACUCUGCACUUGACUCUUUUAGGCUUGAUUAUUCCUCAAUCUUAUGUGCCUUCUUUCUACACAUAUAUGUGCAUAUUAUGUAGUCCCCUAAGUGUUUGAGCAUUCAAGUAUGAAGCCUCGAGCACAUGAUAGUUUCUCUCAUUUGGUCAUUUUUCUAAAAAGGAAAAACAUACGAGACUCGGAGGUGAGAUUAUAGAUGAAGACUGCUUAACCCGUUUGAAUUUCUAUCAGAAUAAUUGUAACCCUAGGCUAGGAAUUUUAGUUUAUGUCAUUUUGCCUUACAUAUCGUGACUCAUCAUUUUAUUACGGGUUAGCAUUUUGCCUAUCAUCUAAAAUCAUUCGUAAAAUUUUAACAUCCAAAAAUUAAAUUUAAAAUAGUGAUACCUGACCGUGGGUAUUUCUUAGAAAUAGUAUCUCUUCAAAUGAAAAGCAUUCCAAUGUGAAAGUAGUAUCUUGCCAUCUAUUGUCUCCAUAUCAUAUGCUCCUUUUCUUGCAAUAUCACGAACUCUAUAGGGUCUUUCCCAUGUUGGACUUAAUUUACCCGCGUUAGCUGCCUUUGUAGAUUCAAAAACCUAUUUAAGCACAAAGUCCCCAACUUUGAAGAAUCUGAGGCGUACUUUUUGGUUAUAGUAUCGUACUAUGACUUAUUUUUGUGCUGCCAUUCUUAUUAGCGCAGCUUCUCUCCUCCCUUCGAGUAAAUCAAGAUUGGCCCGCAUCUGCUCGUCAUUAGAUUCUUCAGUCGCUUGUGUGAACCGUGUACUUGGUUCUCCUGUCUCAACUGGGACUAAAGCCUCAGCUCCAUAAAUCAAUGAAAAUGGUAUUUCUCUUGUACUUGUUUUUUCAAUUGUACAAUCUGCCCAUAAAACUCCAGGCCAGUUACCUUUUGAUUCCUCUAAACGCUUCUUUAAAUUCUUGAUAAUAACUUUGUUUAUUGAUUAUGCUUGCCCAUUACCUACUGGAUGAUAUGGUGUAUAUGUAAUCCUUUAAUUUGCCAACUUUGAAAGAAUUCCGUGAUUUGAGAUCCUAUAAAAUGAGGCCCGUUAUCACAUACGAUAUCUUUUGGUACACAGAAUCGGCAUAUGAUAUUUCGCCAAAUAAAAUUUUUUACUUCCUUUUCUCGCACUUGUUUAAAUGCUCAUACCUCUACCCAUUUAGUAAAAUAGUCAGUGAGUACGAGCAUAAACUUUACCGUUCUUUUGCCUGCGGUAAUGGACCCACGAUAUCCAUUUCCCAUUUCAUAAAUGGCCAUGGUACAAUGACUGGAUGUAUAACUCCGCAUGUCUAUGCAUAUUGUUACAGUACCUUUGGUAUUUGUCAUAUUUAGCCACAAAACUUUUUGCUUUCUCUUCCAUUUUAGGCCAGUAAUAACCUUCCCUAAUUAAGGUUCUUACCAGUGAUCUUUCACAUGCGUGAUUCCCAAAAUGUCCCUCGUGUAGUUAUCUCAUUACAUACUCCAUUUAAGAAGGUCCUAGACAUCUUGCUAAGGGACCACCGAACAUUUUACGAUAAAGAUUCCCUUGCUUUAAACAGUACCGAGCAACCUAUUUUCGAAGUGCAUGUGCUUUUUUCUUAUCAUCAGGAACGGUACCAUAUUGCAAAAAAGCAACAAUUCGUUCCUCCAAUCCCAAGUUAAGUUAUUAAAAUUUACCUCAUUAUUAUCGAGGUCGAGGACUGGAUUAAAUAAAUGAAUAACAGAAGCAUUUGCAUCGCUUGCCACGCCAGCUGCAGAUGCGAGAUUAGUUAGGGCGUAUGCUUCAGCAUUUUCAUCCCUUGGUAUUUGUGUAACUUUCCAGGUUUGAAAGUGCUUUAUCAAUUCCCGUACCUUUUCAAAAUAUUGCUGGAUCCUUGCCUCUCUAGCUAUGUAAGUCCCCAGAAUUUGAUUAACCACGAGCUGUGAAUCGAUUUUGAUCAUAAUCUGAUUUAUGCCAAGCUAUCGCUCCAGUUCUAAACCUGCAAUCGCAACCUCAUACUCUGCCUCAUUGUUAGUUAUAGCGUGACUUUUGAUAGCUUGUCGAAUGAUUUCACUCGUAGGUGGUACCUAAACAAUCCCUAAACAUACACCUUUUACGUUAGAUGACCCAUCGGUGAAUAAGGUCCAAGUUCCUGGGUUAACUCCGUUGAACACCUGCAACUCUUUUUCUGCUUCUAAUUGCAUUCCUUGGCUAAAAUCAACCACAAAAUCAGCUAAUACUUGAAAUUAGUAGUAGUUCUAGAUUGGUAGGUGAUAUCAUAUUCGCUUAACUCAAUAGCCCACUUAGCUAACCUUCCUGACAAUUCAUGCUUAUGUAAUAUAUUACGUAAUGGGUAAGCAGUUACUACAACAAUAGAAUGACAUUGAAAAUAAGGUCUUAACUUUCUAGAUGCCAUGGUUAAUACAAGUGCAAGUUUUUCCAAUUGUGGAUACCGUGUCUCUGCAUCUAACAAAGAUUUACUAACAUAGUAGAUAAGGGAUUGUUUACCUUGGUCCUCUCGGACUAAAACAACACUCACCGCUACUUCUGAAAAGGUAAAUAAGCAAUCUUUCCGCAGCCUUUGGUUUUGCAAACAACGGUGGAUUUGAUAAGUAUGUUUCAAAUUUCUAAGUGCCUGCUGAAAUUCCUCAUUCCAUUCAAAAUGAUCUUAUUUUUUAAGAGCUGAGAAGAAUUUGAAGCACUUUUCCGAUGAUUUAGAAAUAAAUCUUCCCAAGACUGCAAUUCUUCCUAUUAAUCUCGAAACCUCUUUUUUACUUGGAAGCAUAUAAGGGAUUUCUUCAAUAGCCUUAUUUGUUCGGGAUUCACUUCAAUACCACGGUUAGAGAUAAGAAAACCUAAAAACUUACAUGAUGCGACGCCGAAUGCAAAUUUCUUAGGAUUUAACUUCAUGUUAAAUUUGUGCAUAAUUUGAAAUGUAUCAGAUAAAUGAGAUAUAUGAACCCUUGAAUGCUGAGUUUUCAUGAGCAUAUCAUCUAUAUAAACCUCCAUGGUUUUUCCCAAAUGUUCUUGGAACAUUUAGUGACCAGCCUUUGAUAUGUUGCUCCAGCAUUUUUGAGACCAAAAGGCUUUACUUUAUAACAAUAAGCCCCAUAUCCGUUAUGAAUGAAUUUUUUUCCUCAUCUACUGGAUCCAUUUUGAUCUGAUUGUACCCUGAAUAUGCAUCUAAAAACUUAAUAGCUCAUGCCAUGCAGUAACAUCAAUUAGUUGAUCUAUGCGUGGUAAUAGAAAAAAAGAAUCUUUAGGACAGGCUUUGUUAAGGUCUGUGUAAUCUACCACUUACCAUUCUUUUUGGGCACCACAACAGUAUUAUCUAACCAAUUAGGAUACUUUACCUUACGGAUAGACCCAAUCUUUAGUAAUGUUUUGAACCUUAUCUUGAAUCACCAGAUUUUUGGAAGUUCCUUGCUUUCUCUUCUUUUGUUUGACAGGCGUAUACGAUGGGUCUUCAUUUAACUUGUGUGUCAUUACCUCCGGUGGUAUUCCUAGCAUAUCAGAGUGGGACCAAGAAAAACAUUCCACGUUAGCUUUUAAGAAUUCAAUUAACAUACCUUUCACAUCUGGGUUCAGAUUAGCCCCUGCGUAGACUUUCCUUUCAAGCUAUUGUGCAAAUAAUACUACGACUUUCAACUCUUCAAUUGUUUUUUUGAUGUUUUCAUUUUCCUCUAGCUCUUGUUUUAAGUAUUGCCUCUCCAUUAGUUACAACGCUACAAUUAUCGAAUCCCGACAGAGUUAAUUUAUCUUCAGCUUGCAUUUCACGUAGUACCCUUAAUAGGAAAAUAUUCAUAGAAAUUUUUGGAUCAAUCAAAACUCGUUUCACAUUAGUAUCAUGUACAAGUAGAGAUAUUACUAGUACGUCGUUGUGUGGAGAUAAUACGCCAUCUUCAUCGGUAUCAUCAAAGGUAAUAGUUUCUUCUUGUAAGACUUGUCGCACCCGCUUUCCGUGGGUAAUAGUGACUUUAGAAACUUCAUUGGAUGCCGUUUAUGUCACACCGUUGAUAUCUUAUCCUCUGCUUAUGACAUUGACGGUCAUUUUGGGUGAAGGUAGUUUUGAAGGCUCCUGCCUAUUCUUCAUAUAAGCUUGUUUACCUUUUUCACUGAAUAACUCGGUGAGGUAGCCUUGUUUUAACAGAUGAUCAACUUGACUUUGUAAAAACCUACAUUCUGCUGUUUUAUGCUCGUGAUCAUUAUGAAACUCGCACCAAUGGUCAGGGUUUCGCCUCUUUGGAUUCAAUCUCAUCUCUUUUGGCCAUCAUACCUUAUCACCCAUGUUUCUCAAAACAGACACGAGCUCAAAAGUGCUGACAUCGAAAUUGUAACCGCCAAACCUUGCCUUCAGAUUUAUAUCAUCAUCUCAUGACCCAUGGGUGUUUGGAUUAUUUCUAAAUCUUGAUGAAGAACCCGACUCUCUAUUCCUUGAUCUGUGAUCAUACCGUUGAUUGUCUUGUUUUGACCGUGAGUCUUUUCUCGCACGUCCAAUGUAUGGAUAGUACCUAUUUUUACUGAAUCUUUUUUCGGUUUCCGCCCUUUUUGAACUGCCCUUUUCCUCGUUUUGAAAUCGAGGAACGGUAUCUUCUUCUAUUCUCAGUUUCGUGCUAUACAUGUUGUAAAUGUCAUUCCAUGUUGUACCUGGGAAUUCACAAAGGCUUUCCUUGAGUCGUCUCGUAGAUUCUGAGCUUUUUUCAUUCAAAUUGCUUGUCAAAGCUAUAACAGCCCAAUUAUCAGGUACAUGGGUCAAGGUCAUUCUUUCACGUUGGAAUCUUUCUACAAAAUCUCUGAGCAAUUCUGAGUCCCCUUUUGAUCUUGAAAAUAUCUUCCAUCCCCUUUUUCGACUUUUUGAGCUCCCGAGUGUGAUUUGAUGAAAGAAUCUGCAAGCUCAGCAAAAGAAUUUUAUAGAUUUUUCGGGUAAGAGAGAGUACCAUGUUAAGGCACCCUUGGUGAGCGUUUCUCCAAAUUUUUUGACUAAUACUGAUUUAAUCCCUGCUUGGUCAAAUCAUUGCCCUUCACGCUUGUUGUGAACGCAGUCAAGUGGUCUCGUGGGUCUGUUGUUCCAUCGUAUUCUGGGAUAUCAUGCAUUUUAAACUUCUUUGGAAAUGGGAGGGGAGCAGCAGUUGGCAUCCAGGGUUUUUAUGAAUACUUAUCCAUAUCUACCUCUUUGAUUAUGGGCGGCACCCCAGGUAUUUGCUCUAUGCGGUCAUUUUGCUCCUUGAGCUAUUUCUAUAAUGUUAGUACUAAAUAUUACAAAUUAGAAUUAACUGAAUUACCUGGUUCUUUCUCCUAUGAUUCAUUGGGGGUUCCUCCACCAUUUCCUGAAUUAACAAGCCCGGAAAAGGAUUCUCCAAUGUGUUGUUAUUUGGAGUAUGUGUGGGUAGUGCAGCAGGUAACCGUUUAACCAAAGCCUGAACAACUUUAUUGACAUGUGAGGCAAUAAGUUUUUGCAAAGACUCAUCCACAGCUUCAAAAUUUUGAGAUUGAGCCUAUCCAUCUGCAUGAGAUCCCUCAGGAGUACCUUCACGUGAUUGUCGAGGAGAGCCUUGUGGAGAAGCAAUCAGUGUGUUAUAAUCCUGCGGAUCUCCCUGAAGUUGUUGGUUUGUUUCGUUUUCUUGAAUGUUUUCAUUGUCGUUCCACAUUGUGGAAGCAACAAGGAAAGUCAACUAAAAGAGAAUAGAUUAUCAGAUUCCCGGUAACGGAACCAAUUUGUUUAACCAAAAAAUAAAAUUUUAGUCAAAGUUAGAAUUUAGAAAAAUACGAGUUACUGAUAAUCAAAAGAAUAUAUAAAGGAAGUAAUUUUAGCUGAAAGUAGUAUAAUCAGAAGUAAAGCAAGUAAACCAAAGUAUAUUCAGAUAGUGUUUCUUGUCUUUACAAAUGUUCAGUCCUCUCCCUUUUAUAGUAAUUUUGGAGAUAUGUGCCUUUCCUUUAUCAUAAUAAGGCUAUUAUGGGUAAUUAAUGAUAUUGGAUGCUACGUUACAUAAUAAUUAUAUUUAAUAUAAAUUUUCUAACGGUUUUAGUAUUUAAUGCUCAUUAAAUACUGUAUUUGGACUCUCAUGUGCUGUCAGAUUCAUUCCUUUGAUUCUUCUUGAUUCUUGAUCUUAAAUGUCUUGAGUAGGUACGUGCGCUGAAUUCUUUGAAUAACCGCCCCGUGCCUCUUCCUUUGCCUUUGCUUGUAUCCAUUGCUACUUGUGCCUCGUGACUAGUUGUAACUAUUUGACCGUUUGACCAGUCCACAUAUCACGAUACGUCAUCUUCAUGUACUUUAAUAUAUAAACUCAAUCUUUCCCAAUAGAGUUGUCGAGAGUUCUUCCCUCUUUGUACCGGGUAGACUGAUAGAGUUUUGUUUAGGCUUGUUAGCUGUCUAUGCUAUGUCCACAUGGUUGGUUGCAUAGUUUUGUGUUAUUAUCCUUUCCCUUAUUCGUUGUUGUUAUUUUCUUUCUGGCAUUUUUUUGUUGUUAGAUGCCUUGUUUUUGUUUCUUUUCUGAUAUUAUUGACUCUUUUGUUGAAUCGAGUGCCUCCUGGAAACACUGGAAACAGUCUCUCUACCCUUUUCGGGGUAGGAGUAAGGUCUGCGUACACUCUACUCUCCCCAGACCCCACUAGUGGAAUUUUACUGAGUAUGUUUUUAUUGUAAGUUUCUAAUAUAGUAUAGCUAGAUAAAAAUCCCAAACUAAUUUGGUCUGAGUUUUGAUACCCUCUUUAUUGGAUAACCUGCUUUGAUACUAGGCCAAACUCUACAAACUAUUUGACUCUAGCCUUUAACAAGAAGCCCAAUUUAAGUUAUAGUAAGAUAUUUUUUCCACUUGUAAGACAUUCAUUCAAACAAUGAAGCUGCGGACAAUAAAUUAAAGAGAUUUUUUCCUUCCUAUACCAUAUAUAAAACCUUAUUAUUACCAAAAAUAUGAAUAGUUUUAUAUUUAUCCAUCACAUUUAUCCUUUUUCUAUAAUUGUUAUACCUUUCAUUAUAAUAUUAAUUAUUAGGAACUUAUUACUUCCUAGCAACCUUCUAUUUGAAAUCUCCGUUUUCAUGUGAAGGUGAAUUCCUAUGUAUUGUACUAUCGUAGUGCUAGAAGUUCGCUCAAACUAUUAAAAAGUUAAAAAUAAAACAUUCAACAUCUUUUUUACUAUAUAAAAUGACUUUAACAUAAGACUGCUUCGAGUUCUGUUGUAGUCAAGCACGUAUCACAUCAUAAGAUUUGUCUAACAGAUAGAAACUUCUCAAUUGGUUGAUAUACAAACCAAAAAUCUAGUUGAUCAAUCUAUCACAAAAAGCUAUCAUUGUUUUAUGUUUUCAAAUUAGAUAGAAUCUUUUAAGCAAAAAUUCGGUUCUUCCAUAUUUUUCUUUAAGCUACAAAUUAAAAAAGAUAAAAUUGUCAACUACUUCGAAUCAAAUUAUAGAAAUCAGUUCUGCAAAAGCUCAGUUCGUCGACAUUCUCUCUACAUCUCUCUAUUUCUCAAUCGCAAAUUUCAGUAAUACAAAGCUAAUAAAAAGAGAGCAGCAAUUCUACCAUUGAUAGCCAUUAAAAACUUAAAAGCUUUGAAUUCAAAUUUGAGUUUUCAAAAAUAAUUAUUUGCUUGGAUUGAGUGUUGUAAAUAAUCAGGAAUAUGGUUUCGAGUUUAUAUCUCAAUUUUGAGGGGUUUUGGUGAAGAUUAGUCUUAGUUUUGACUGAAUUUCAGAUUGAAACUCGAAGAAGAAGAAGAAGAAGACAUAUUGAAGAAAUUGUAGAUAAAAUGUAGAUUAUUUGUAUUCUGAUUGUAGAUGCUUUAUUUUCUGUUUUCACAAAUAAAAAAUGGCUAAAACUUCUACAAAUCUUCUGAAAAAACGCAAUUAUGUCAAAAAUACCAAUUAUGCUACAAUUGAAUGAGAAUUGUGAUAUGAAAAUUCAAUGUACCAAGUUUGUAAAUAUUUUGUAGGUAAUUAUAGAUUAUUUUGUAUUCUAAUUAUAGAUGCUUUGUCUUAUGUUUUCACAAAUAAAAAACGACUAAAAUUUCUACAAAUCUUCUGUAAAAAUAUAAUUAUGUCGAAAAUCUCAAAAUUACAAUUGAAUGAAAUUAGGGUAUUAAAAUUUAGUAUAUCCAAUUUGUAAAUAAGUGGUAAAUUAUUUAUCUUCGUCUUCUUAUUGCUCAUUUCCGUUUUGAAAGUUUCAUGUGUUGGUUUUCCAAUUGGAUAAAAAAAUAUAAUUGGUUAGGAUAGAUGGUAUUUAAGCCAAAUUCGCAAAAAGAAGAGAUUACGCAAUCUUAGGUAUUGACCUUUACGUUGUAUAAUUCAAAUGAUCAGAUAUUUUGGAAGGAUCAAGAAAAGACAAAUAAGAACUAAAGAAUUUUUGUGAAACAUAAUUUUAGUUACAUGAUUCUUUUUAAGUCUAAUAACAAUGUAUAAAUAUAGGUGAGCCUUAGAGUUUAAGAAAAAAACUGAUAUACGAUACUUUAAAUUAAGAAGGAAUAUAUGCUAUAUUAGUUAUAACUUUAAAAUAUAAUAUGGUAUGAUAAUUUAAUAUAGUAAGUAUAAUUAAGUCAUACAUAUACAUGUUGUAAAAAUUUUUAAAUUAAAAUCGUCCAGAAAUUCGGAAGUGAAGAGCUAGAAUAUUCCAAUUAGGAGGACCUGCCAAUUUCGUCUCUUCAGUGCAACACGCGGAGGGAAAGUUGAGAGAUGUCGUGUUUGGCAUCUUGCUGCGCGUCAUUGACAUGCGGACUCUGCACAUCGGUGGCGUCAGGUGUGACCAGGAGCUCAGCUAGACUUGCUUAUUGUGCCCUAUUUGGUGUUUCCUUGAUCGUCUCUUGGGUUCUCAGAGAAGUCGCUUCUCCUCUCCUCAAGAAUUUCUCAUGUAAAUUAUCCUCUUUUUUUCUGUCUCUUUUUAACCUCUUCAAACUGUUUUAUGUUAGCUUUUAUGGCUUGAUUCGAAUUGUUGAAUAGCUGGUCGGAGAUCUGAUUUUUCUCCGCCGUCAAAAAUUUAGUAGUUACUAUUGGGAAAGCUGGUAGUACCUAAGCACUCUGACUUAUACAUGGUAUAUGAUAGUGGAAGAAAAAUAGUAUAGUAAUGAUAAAAAGUUAGUUUAAUAGGAAAACAUCGCAUCAAAGGUUAAAGUUCAAAUGUUUAUUGAAAUUGGAUUUCUCAAAGGUGUGAAAAUUAUAAGAAAUUAAAAUAGCGUCAAACAUUUUGGAAUGUUCCAAAAUGGAAAGAGUACCGUAUAAAUUGGAAAGGAUGGAGUAUUAGGCUUCAGACUUCUGGCAACUAGGAUUGUGAUCUGUCCUUUCACCUUUAAGUUCCAUCUUCAGUUGUAAUUAGGACAGAAUCGUAAAUGAUAAAAUUCGCAUUUUGCUAUGACAACACUAUCCUGAUUUUGAAUGUAUUUAUAUAGUUGAGCAGGUUCUUUCGGAGAACAUUAGAUUGUAGUUCUCUGGGAGAUCUUUCUAGCUGUUAGGGGUCGUUUGGUAGGAGGAUAAGAAUAAUGCUGAAUAGGGUGUAUUAGCAAUGUUAGUAUUAGUAGUUUUGAGAUAAGUUAUGCUGAGAUUUGGUUUGGUGUAUUAAAGCAUUGUAUAAUAUCUUAAAAAAUUAGUUGUUUAUAAAAAUAUCCUUUCAUAUUCUUUAUUAACUUUGUACACUUUGAGGGAUUUAAGGGGCAAUUAUAUCUUUAACCAUGCUUAUGCAAGUAUUAAAACCCUUGCAUUACUAAUACUAUGGUUUGCUAUGUAUUAGUUAUAUGUAAGAUAAUCUAAAUAGGAUGUAUAACUAAUACAAGUAUUAGUAAUACAUAGGUUGAAAAAAUAGACCAAACAAGGAAUUAGUAAUGCACAAAGCUAAUGCUUGCUUUAUGUAUCAGACUGCCUUUUUGUUUGAUAUCGAUACAGAACAUCAAUAAACUUAAAUUUACCCAUAAGACUUGUUUAAAAAAGCAAAAAAAUAAAGCUCAAACUUAAAAUCUUUAUUUAAGGGCGUAAGGAUAAAUAUCCAUUUAAUUAUGAUCCCUUAAAGACAUUAUUACGUAAAUUAAAUUGUGCUCUCUCUAACAACCUAAGCAUGAGAUCGGUCACACGCUUCACUAGGAAGCCAUAGAUUCCACUCCUAUUUGCUGAUCAGUGUUCAUCUUUACAUGGUUGACUGAUGACUGCAUGCAAGCUAUUUGGGGUACAUGCUAUGGUAUUUGAGGGCGAAGUGGUUUUCAUAUUAAUAGGGGAGGAUAUAAAAUGGUUGCUUCGGUUACUAGUUGUUUUGUUGCUUUGCUUCUAGUUGAUUCCUUCUCUAGAUUUUUCUUUCCUUAAGUAGCUCUGCCGGAUGCAUCCUGCUUUCUGUGACGGGACAUAGAAGGAGGAAGUUAUACCUGAUAUGGUACUCAAAUGACAUAUACUCCUAAGUAUACUUGAGAUCUUUCAAAGCAUGCUACUUCAGUAAAUGAAGAUACAAACUUAAGGGACGAUAUUAUGCUUUUUCUCCUGUUUUGACUGUCCUCUUCAGUUUUUCACAUCACACUGCACCUGCUAGGUUUUAUGAUUAGUUACAAAGUCUCCUUCAGUAAAAAAUAAAAAGUUGUCUCUGGUCAUGGGUUCAAGCCAUGAAAUCAGUCACUAAUGCUUGCGUUACGGUAAGGCUGUCUACAUACCGGGGGAGGGUGCGGCCCUUCCCGGACCUUGUGUGAAUGAGGAUGCUUUGUGCACCGGGCUGUCCUUUUUUCUCCUUCAGUGAAGAAAUUCUAAUGUGAUAAUGUAAUUAAAAUUUGGUAGAUGAUGAUGGAUUUUACUUUGAAUGAAGUACUGAAACUCCAAAAAAAUCAACUGAUUUGAAAAGAAAUUGGCUAAUUAGAAAAGUACUCCUCCAUUGCCAGAGAGCCUCCAGGACAAGGAGGCAACGAUCAACCACCCACUUUUUGAUUUAUUUGUAUUUCUUUAUUGAGAGUAAUGAGAGUAAUAUUGUUGUUGUAUUGAGAGUAAUAUUGUCAAAUAACUUAUAAUGUUACAGGUUUUGAUUGGAAACGCUGGUUAGGAGAUAUCGUUUGGAAACUAUAGAAACGCACAUCAAAUUAAAUAGACAACAGAGGAAUUGACUGCAAAUUAGACAUCCUUCUCUAUAUAUCUAACUGAAAAGAAAUGUGUCAAAAUUAGUAGUUCUUUGCCGGGAAAUAAGGAACAAAGAAUUGAUGGAAGUUUAACUCAAAAUUAUUUUCAGAUUUCUUUCUGUAUCUAAAUCUGUGUUGUUUCUAAAUAAGCCAAUAGUCCAAGUGAGAUAUCUGUUGACAUCCCCCAUAUUAUUCUUGCUACUUGCUGUUUUACAAUGAUGAAAGUAAUACUUGCAUUUCUUGCUAAUUUGUUCAUAUGUUUGUUGGUUGUAGGGAUAAACACUUCAGACAAUUACUCGAAGGAAUGGUUUCAAGCACAAGCUGUUCUUCGUGUCAGUUUGGGGAAUUUCUUGUUUUUUGGACUGCUUGCACUUAUAAUGAUUGGCGUCAAAGAUCAAAAUGAUAAGCGUGACUCCUGGCAUCACGGUGGAUGGGUUGCUAAAUUGGUGAUCUGGGUGUUGCUUGUUGCCCUUAUGUUUUUCCUGCCUAACGGUGUCAUAACAGUUUAUAGUCAGUUCUCUGCCCUUAAACUGAAAUAAUUUAGUAGUCAACAUUUAAAUCAUUUUUUUUUAGUAUGUCAUCUACACAAAAUCAUAAACUGUCAUUUUAUAUUCUCCUUUCAGAAGUUAGAAGACUAGGGAUUUCAAUUCUGUCAGGUCUACCAUACCUUAGAAAAGAUUUUUCUUCAAAAUUAUCAGAUAAUGUCUCUAGGAAACAUAAUUUUGCGUAGUAAGUACAUGAUGAACAGAAUAUCAACUAGGUAAAGGAACUGGCAUGUUCUGGCAGUUCAAGUUUUUUCCUGACAACAGUUCACCCAGUGUUGUCAAAGGCACACUUAAGCCCUGAAGCGAGGCUCAAAACAUGUGGAGGCACUUCGUCUCGCUCUGCAGGUGCUUCAGUGCCGUCAUCAAGACUCUAAGGCAUACUUUUCCUUACCAAAGCAACACUAAACACUUGAUAUUUCACUUCAUUGUAAUUCUUUUUCAAUUUGUUUGUCCAUAUAUUUGUUAUUCACACUUAUUAGUCUUGGACCACACAUACAUAUUUAUAUUUUUUCUUCAUCUGUAUCUUUGGUCAUUAAAGGCCAUACUUUGUUUGCGCUUUGCUUUAAAGACCCAGUGGGCCUUAGAGUUUUUUUUGCUUUUCACCUUUUUUUUCGACCACACUUGUUCCAGUUUACUUCUUCCAAUAAGUACACUCUCCUCUAGCUUGUGGGUCCAAAAUCCUGUUCUAUUUUUUUAUAUUGUGUCGCUUCUGUAGUUCUGAUAGUUAACUGUCAAAAUUUGUAUUUUAUUUCCAUUUUACCUGAUUGGUUUUAUUUUCUACCUUUGCAGGUUUUAUUUCGAAAUUUGGGGCAGGGUUAUUUUUGUUAAUCCAAGUAAUAAUACUGUUAGAUGCUACACACUCAUGGAAUGAUUCAUGGGUUGCAAAAGAUGAACAAAAGUGGUUGGUUCAAUUUCUUAUCUUUUUUAAUAAUUUUAUCCAUGGACCUUUUUUUAUCUUUAAAAGUUUGACAUAUUUUGUGCAGGUAUAUUGCUUUGCUUGUGAUAUCUGUGGGAUGCUAUAUUGCAACAUUUGCUUUUUCUGGAAUCUUAUUUAUGUGGUUCAAUCCUUCUGGACAUGACUGUGGACUGAACGUGUUCUUCAUUGUAACGACCAUGAUCCUUGCAUUUGCAUUUGCUGUUAUUGCUUUGCACCCAAAGGUAAAUGCUCUCUCUGCUGAUGCUGUUUUUUUCACCUUAACACUUCUUCCUUGGAGGAUAACUUUUUAAAAAUAUUGAAAUGCUUCAUAUGCAUUAUGCAUUACGAAGUCGAUAUCUCUUGCGGAUGACUUGCAUAUACUUGUAUGCAUAUGUAUAAGUCAAACAGCUCCUUAAGGGUUACCCGUCUAUUCCAUGCAUUCAGAAGAAUCACUUUUGGUACUUAAUUUUUUUUUUCUUGUGUUUUUACUUAAUACUAAUCAUCUUUCUCCUUUAACUAUGUCUAGGUAAAUGGCAGCCUAUUGCCGGCUUCUGUGAUAUCUGUUUACUGUGCUUAUGUUUGCUACACCGGUCUUUCUAGUGAACCUCGAGAUUACGUCUGCAAUGGGCUUAACAAGUCAAAAGCUGUAAUAACAAGUACCUUGUCCUCGGGAUGCUUACAACUGUUCUCUCAGUUCUAUAUUCUGCUCUUCGUGCUGGAUCUUCAACUACUUUUCUCUCUCCACCAUCUUCUCCCAGAGCAGGUACUAAAACCUCUUUAUGCUCUUAGUAUUUCUUCCUCUGCUCAGCGAAUGACUUACGAUUAGUAAAUCCAUUUUCUCAAUUCAUGAAGAUUCCUGUGAUUUCCUCAUCAAAAAAUAAAAUAAAAUAAAGAUUCCUGUGAUUUGUCUGGUUAUUGUCAAUCUUGACUAUAAUGGGUGGUGAUGACUUUUAGGAGAAGUUGUUUAUGGUCAUUAUCACAGUAUAUGCUCGCUCCUCUUUUUUAAUAACCCAGGUGAAAUAUUGUUUGUGUUUUCUUAACAAUGGAUCUUCUAGCAUGUACUACCUGUCGUAGCUGUGUGUUUAUGCCUAGGUGAAUUAAGAUGGUGAAUUUGUUACUCAUAUGCGGAAAUAUACUCAUACAGAUUAGUGAAACAUACCCAUUGUUUAUUUCAACAAAACUCUAAUGUUAAGCGACAAUAUAUUAGUACACCACACCUCUCACUUUUGUGAUCCAUCCAUUCAUGAGCAAUAGUCAUCAAAAGUCUUGCACAUGAUGCUGCUGAUAUCUUGCUGUAGAAUUUCUCUAUCUGCAUAUUUUACGCUACUUCACGAAAAAUUUCCUGACAAGUACCAAUAUUCUGUUAUAGGUGAGAAGAAAUCCCUUCUUGCUUCCGAGGAGCUGGAAUCUGGGAAAGGAUCAGCAGAAGCACGGCCAGUGAGCUAUUCCUACUCAUUCUUCCAUCUGAUAUUUGCUCUGGCUAGCAUGUAUUCUGCAAUGCUUCUUUCUGGGUGGACUAGCAGUUCUGAGAGUUCAGACCUAAUCGAUGUUGGUUGAACAUCUCUUUGGGUUCGCAUAUGUACAGAAUGGGUUACUGCUGGACUAUAUAUUUGGUCCCUCGUGGCUCCAUUGCUCUUCCCUGACCGCGAAUUCUAUUGAUCCUUGUAUAAUGAUCAAAUAUGUAGUUGUCUGUCCUUGUUAAUGUGUGUCUUCAACUUGUAUCAAGCUUGUUAUGUAAAUAUAAAUGUCCUUAGUGCUUCUACUGAAAGACCAAGAUGUAGUCGUCUUUAUCUACCGAUAAAUUAUAUUAUUAUUCUAUAUAUUAGAAGAGCUAGGGCUUCGACCUAGCUGCUUAUAUGUCAUUAAUUUUGUAGUUGAGGGCAAUUUAGUGACAUUAUCUAACAUAACGAGUCUUUUAAUAUGAAGCUAAUAGAGCGUGUCAGAGAUUUUAGUUUUAUGCAUCUACUUUCUUCGGUUCCAUCGCCUUUGCGCCAACAUAACCACUGCCGUUGAGUUAUACCAACUGUACUGUUCCUUGCCCCUUCCCUUUUUGGGGGUUUUUGUUUUGCCUUAGUUUAUAUUAUUAGCUUCCGUAUAAGAACAACAACUACCUCGUAUACUCCUACAAAGCGGGGUGUGGGGAGGGUAAUAUGUAGACGGGCCGUACCCUACCCGAAAGGGCACAGAGGCUGUUUCCAAUCGACCCUCGGCUUAGUGAAGGAAAGCAAAAACAAAAACAAACACAAAAAAACAUUAGUAACUCCAGCAGAAAUAGCGUAAAUAAUUAUCUAAACAUAAGAACCAUAAAUAAAAUAGCAUGCAAUAAUAUCAGACAGUAACUACCACAGAAAUAGCGUAAAUAAUUAUCUAAACAUAAGAACCAUAAAUAAAAUAGCAUGCAAUAAUAUCAGACAAUAACUACCAUAAAUAAUUACCAUAAAGGAGACGCAAGGGGAACACAAUCUAAUUCACAAAUUAUCUAUGGAAAGCCUGCCAAGCCUCACCCAACCCCGGGUGAGGAGUACGAAAAACUCUAGGAGAUCCUAUCUUACGACCCUGAUACUAGACCUCCAGACUUUUCUAUCAAGGGUCAUAUCCUCGCAAAUCGGCAUUCUAGCCAUGUCCUGCCAAUCACCUCUACAUUUGAAUUCUGCUUCAGCUAUCCAAGAUGCGCAUAACGGGAGAUAGCCGAAAGCUUCAGUAUCGACGAUCUCACCUAUCCUUAAACCCUCAACCUUAUUUGAUAGUACUUCAUGUGCUUGCCUCCUAUGUUUUACAGCAGAGAGUUUGGAUAGGGAUGUUUUUGUAUCUUGCAUGUUUCGUAGAAUGCGCUUGAAUUUCUCCAGUAAAUUUAGAAUAAUUUUUUGUGAACCCUAAGGAUAGACAGACCUUAUUAGCACUCUCAAAGUGAGCUAUCCUAACCCACUGUUGAGAUAUUGAGGAGGAUUCAGAUAAGGUACCAUAUCUUGAAAUACUCAAG